CUCUCAUGUCCUAAACAAAAUCUAGUAACUUUUAUCCUCCUAUAAAACAACAGCCUAAAUAUCGAGGAAGAGUACUAACUAGGAAAAUCUCGCAAAUGAAAGAAGUUUAAGAAUCAUGAGUUAAGGGAGCUUUCGAAGUGGUAAAUAAUUCCUUCUGGCCUUCUGCUCUCCUUUCAGCAAUUGAGACCCUCCCUCCAUCUAGAGCAUAUGAGUUCAGACCCUAAUAUUUUUUUUCCUGUUUAUUCACAUCUUAUUCACCCCUUUACUCCAGUCAAUAACAAUAAUAAUAAGUUAAUGACGAUAACAAUACUUCUUUUUGUGUUAUUCACAUGUUAUCCACCUCUUUACUCUAGUCAAUAAUAGUAAUAACAGCACCUUCAAUACACUAGAAAGAACGUAAAAAUUCUAAAAUAAACAAUGAAUUGUCAAGAUCGUUUAAGAAAUUAUUAUAAAUAGAAUGAUUUUAGUAAAAUAUGAUUGCCUAAGAUAAUCAUAAACUUUCUUUUUGAAACAUCUUUUUGUGAUUACCUCCAUCACUGUUCACAGCAACUAAUUAAACCAUACUCCAUCCAAAAAUAGAAUGAAUGGUUACACAUCUUAAAAGUCUCAAUAUUUAAUGCUUAGACACAUCUCAUGAGACUAAUUAUUUGUCCUUUCUUUCCCAACCACAUAGUAUAAGUAUAGUACAAAUGCAAAUGUAUGAACACAAAUUAAAGAUUUGUUUUGAUUGGAAGUCUAAUAUAUAUAUAUAGAACAAAACAAGAAAGAGGGGUAUGAGCAAGGAAGAACAAGGAGUUCUUCAAAAAACUAGAAACCAAACAAACAAGCUGAAAGCACCCUGGGCCAAUUGCCUGACCGCACUAAAAAUUGCCCCCAAAGUCUUCAGGUGUAACUGCCUCUACUUUAUCUACAAAACCAUUAGGAAAGCUAGAAAACCCACCAAUGGAACUUGCCUUCAUUAUGAAGUAACCAGUAAGAAGGAAAAUCUCCUUCCUUCAAGUGGAUAGUCCUCCACAUGCCCUAAAACUUGGAAGUCAACCCACUUAGUGAAGUAGAAAAUCCCCUUUGGCCUUUGAUCUGUUCCAUCCUGAACGAUGUUUUUUCUUUUCUAUCAGAGUUCCAUCCUGAACUGUUAAGUUCUGUAAUGCCUACAACAAUGGCUUUUAUAGCAUUACCUAACCUCAUGGCUUUGAAUAAGAAAAUCAUAGACCUAGAUCAAGGCAUAUAAUUAUGCUGACUAGCCUCAAGUUCCCAACAGAGCAACCUUUCUGUCGUCUAGUCUAUUGGAUGAAGGUUUCAUCCAGGUAGAAAAAAUGUCUUCUAUGAGAUCAUUUAAAGCAAGUGUACUGGAUACAGUAGCUUCUUUCUUCUCUGUAAUAGUUAAAAAGAAUCAAAUGUUGACCCCACUCUAGCUUGAAGAAAGACAAAGAAAUAAGGUUGACUAUGGUUCAAGUAUAGCAUGUUUCAUCAACUUUCAAUUUUAAACUAGAGAUAGGCACUAACAAUGUAUAUGAAAAAUCUGUUCCCUGUUUGUAGGUGAAGUUAAACUAGACAAGUUGAUUACAGCACAACGCUAUGGCCUAAAGCUUCAAGAAAGAGCUUGAUCCGUCAUGUCCCAAUUUUCCAUAAUUCUUGCACAUAUGUCUUAUAAAAAGAAUCAAUGUGAUUGCUUCCCAGUUGAGCAGCUCCAACUGAUCCAGAAGGUAUUUAUCAUCUCUUUUUCAGGCCAUCAUGACUGUGUUCAACAGCACCUGAUAAGGAGAGCUUAAGUUCAGCAGCCCCACAUCCAAAUAAUUUGGUUUGAAGCAAGAUUUUGCCGCACUCACUGGAAAUGCAGGCUCACUGCAACAGGCAUAAUGCCUUUCUUGAAGAAGGCUUAUACCCCUCAAGUGAGAACCAAGAGUCCCCCAAUUUGCUCACCAAUAAUCUGUAUGUUUCAGCAUUAGAUUUAUUUAUUGUGGCAAAUAAGAGGAGGCCAUUUUCAUAUGUUCCACCCAUGAACAUCACUAGCUUAUUAUGAGCUUAACAAAGAAUUAAAGACAAGGUCUCCAACUUAUGGUUACAACAAAUCAAAUCCUAAUAAUAGCCAAGCAGAGUUUAAAUCAAGUGAGAGUUGAAGUACUGAAAUUUUUAAAACUAUUUAGUUUGAGACUCCUUAAAUGAUACAAAAUUUUAAAAUAUUAUAAUUUUGAAUAAUUUUAUGAUAUUCAAAUAAAAUUUUAUUUUUUAAAUAGUAUAUAAAUUAUCUUUUUUAUUUUUAUAAUUAUUUUUAAUUUUAAUAAUAUAUAAAUUAUAUAUUUAUGACAUCACCAGUUCGACUAGUGAACCGUGAACCAGUAACUUUUCUAGUUCAAUGAUCGAUCCGGUUAUGAAACAUUGGUUUUAACCCUCAUAACUACCCCUUUUCUAGCUCUAUCUCCCACCAUUGGAUCAUAUUCCUGAAUUUUUAGGUCAACCAAACAAGAAGGAAUUUGAAACCCACCAAGAAAAAGAUCAGAAUACUCAGGACCACUAAUGAAACCCACCAGCUCUAUUUUAUUAUAGAGGAAUGGGUCCAUGGAGUGACUCCCAUUGUAGAGGAAAUUCUGAUAUCAUUUUCUGGAGUUCUACCCCACCCAAAUGACAGGAACAUGCAUGCUAAAGCAUUACUUUCCUCUAUUUUCUGAGCAACCAAACAUUCCCAAAAUUUGGAGAAUGAUGUAGAAACCGAAAACAACCCCACACCUUCAAUCUCCUAGCUUUAAGAAACAUUCUCCAAGAAUUAAAAGAGAACGAUUAGAAACCGAACAAGAGGCAGCAAACUGUAUCUGGAAUUAUUGAAUCAAAUACAAUGCACCUGCAACUCCUCAUGAAAAGUCAAUUUCAUGCUCAGUUCCUCACACUCUGUCACCAUCAAUUUUUCUGAAGGUGCUUCCAUCCAGAAUUGAAACAGAAGCGUUUCUCCCAAGUUCCUCUCAUAAAGAAUCACAAUCCUAACAGAAAACAAGAAGCAUAGUCUUUAAUUUAUCAUCAUUUCCAAAUACUAGAUCUCCUAUUCUUCAAUCUUAAACUCUUGCAGAAUCUCCUCAUAUUGCAGCCAACACAACAAAUAAUAUUAAAAAUUUAGAUAUCAAAAAGAGCUUCAGAUGUUCCUCACCACACUCCCCCCUCUCCAUUAUACAUGUUGCCCAACUUCAGAAGUUCCAGAAAAACAUCAAUUGCAAGAAUAUUGCCAUGUGCAAAAUAAAACAAACUUACCUUCCUUAAGAAACAGUCCUGAACCAGACCAAGGUCAAUUGGCAUGUUCCACAAUAGACUUCCUACUAUAGCAACUACUAUGGAGAGCAGUGAGGGACAACUAUCAUAGGACUCAACAAGUUAUAAAUAUAAUGAACUAAGGCCAAGAUAUCCAACUUAUGAUUCCUGCAAAUCAAAUCCAAAUAAUGUCUAAAUUAUGCACUGAGUACAUGACCAAACAUAAAUAGCAUCAAUGGAAGGUCGUAUGUUUGUAGCAGUCUCAAGAAAAUCUACCCAUUUCUAAUGUUAGGCUCAAUUAACCUAUCAAAAAAAAAAUGUUAAGGCUCAAUUAGGUGGAGCAACUAAAACUACAUUGCAUUCUUUGAAAGUGAUUCAGUUAAAAUACAAGUAAACAAUGCACUGAUUAAAACAUGACCAAACAUAAAUAGCAUCAAUGGAAGGUUGUAUAUUUGUAGCUGUCUCAAGAAAAUCUACCCACUUCUAAUGUUAGCCAAAAUUAAGUGGAGCAACUAAAACUACAUUGCAAUCUUUGAAAGUGAUUCAGUCAAAUUACAAGUAAACAAUCUCUAAUAUGCAAAAGCCUUUACAAAAUAUAAAAUAGAUUAUGAAGGCCGACCUACUCCUAUAAUCCAAUCCUAGUAAUGCUAUAGCAGAAAUAAAUGGUACAACCCUAAUCUAUUUCCCAGUUGGCCUCAGGAUAUUUGGCAUUAAUAGCAUGUUGUCCACCAUAAGCAAUUCAAUUGAACUGAGAGAAGAAGCAAGUAAAAGGUAGAGAAAGAGUGGAUCUAUUCCCUUUAUCCAAUCAACUUGGGCUCAAAAGGAGUAACUACCAAUGGCAAGUAAACACACAAAAAUAACAGAAAUUCAACUCUUGCUUGAUAGAUCAAUCUCCUGUAGCAACAUGAUCUUUUGAUCAAUUGAACUAGUUUGAUUGCAAAAACUUGUUGAUACAAUCAAAAGCCAUAAACAGCUACAAAGAAGAGCGGGAUCCUCCAAGAAUUCCAUGUUUAGAGUUGAUGAAUAUUAUAACUCUUUACUGCACAUACUUGCAUAGAAUUUGCUUUACAGAUUGAUCCAAUCCAUCAUCAGAUAACAUUCCCACUAACAAUGUGGUUGUGGAUACAUCAACAGAAAAUCCCCUUGCAAGCAUUUCUUCAAGAAGUUCAAUAGUUCUCAAUGCCUCAUUAUUCCUUAAAAAUCCUCGAGUAAUCAAAUUAUAAGUGCAAUCAUUUGGUGAGCAGCCAUUCUUAUUCAUUUCACUAAAUAACUUACUUGCCUCAGCUAAUAACCCUUGUUUACAAAGCCCAUGGAUCAUAAUAUUAUAAGUCCAAACAUUAGGCUGCAAUCCUUUGGAGGAGAGAUUGGAAAAGAGAUCCCUUGCAUCUUCAAGUUCACCAGCCCUACACAUGCCAUCAAGGAUAGUAGUAUAAAUUUGUAUAUCAGGAUCCCAAUUACUUCCUUCAAUAGCUUUCAGCAAAGCCAUAGCUUUAUCAAGAUGACGAUUUUUGCAUAGAUAGUCCGAUAAAGUGCGAUAAGUGACAAGAUCAGGAAUUUGGCCACGAGCUACCAUCUCAUGAAAAAGUGAUAUUGCAUCCUGGAGUCUUCCCACAUGGCAUAAACCAUGUAUAAGGGUGUUGUAAGUCACAGUGUUAGGAGUCAAUUCUUGUCGACUCAUUUCUUCAAAGAGAUACAUGGCCUUAUCUACGCUUUGAAUCUUGCAAUAACCAUUGAUCAAGGUGUUAUAGCUGAUUACAUUAGCCACACAGUCCUUAUGAACCAUUGUAUCAAAUACUUUGACCGCCACAUCCACUUCAUUUCGCAAACAGUGUCCAUCCAUCAAUGCAUUGUAGGUGACUACAUUAGGCUCCACACCUCUGUGAAUCAUCAUGUCGACUACAUCAUGUGCUUCAGCAACCAUUCCUUCUUUACAGAGUGCAUCCACCACUGUAUUAAGAGUAAAUACAUCUGGCAUUAUCUUGCUAUCUACCAUUUCGUUCAUCAGUGUUGUCACAUGUUUCCACUCACAUAACUUGCAUAGACCAUGAAUUAAUGAGUUGUAAGUAACAAUAUUAGGUGAAAUGCCUUUAGUGAUCAUCUCAGAGAAAAUGUUGAAAGCCUCGGUUACUUGUCUAUCCUUACAAAGGCUAUCAAUGAGGGUGCUAAAGACGACUACGUUAGGCUGACAAUUUCCUUGUUCCAUGCUUCUAAGUAACCUGAUAGCUGCACUAGUGUUACCCACUUUGCAUAAUCCAUUUAUCAGAGUUCCAUAUGUAACUACGUUGGGCUGAAAACCUUCCCCAAUCAUUUUAUCAAACAAGUGGAGGGCUUCACCAAUUUUACCCUCAACACACAGCCCCCUAAUCAGAGUGGUGAAGGUCGUAGCGUCGGGUUGAUGGCCAAGUUUGAGGAUUUUGGCUAAAGCGGAGAAAGCGAAAUCCACCCGAUUCAAGUGGCAGAGAGAGUUAAUGACGAUGGCGAGAGUGUAAACAUCGGGGGGAAUUCCAAAAGAAUCCAUUUGGCGAGAAAGAGAAAGCAGGGUCGAGUGGUGUUUCGUUUUAGCAAUGGAGGUCAAAAGUCGAUUAAAAUCAACAGUGGAGGGAGGAGGUUGCUUAUGAAGCAUCCGAUUAAACGUGGAGAGGGCUUCAUCGAGGGUAUUGAAAUGAAGGGGUUUGGAAUGAAAUGUAUUAUGUGAUGAAGACAAGAAUGGAGGAGGAAGAGAAAGCAUCCCUGUACCGGAACCAAGAGGAGAAGAAGAAGAAGAAGAAGGCCUUCGAAUUUUCCUCUUCAUAAUCGCCACCAUUUUGCAGACAAAAGAGGGUGAUAAAAGCACAAGAAAACACAGGGAGCAUCUAGAAAUAGAUACUUGUACAUGGCCUUGCAACUAUGUUGAAGAACACUUUUCAAUUUCUUAAAACUAAAAAACACCGAAACUAUUUUUUUUUUUUUUCUAUUUUCAAUUUUUAGAAAAUAAAAAAUAGGAUAUUUUCAUAGAACUUCUUUUAUUUAUUUUCAGUUAUAUUUUGAGAAAUGUUUUAAAUAAUAAUUAUAUAAACAUAUAUAAUAAUUAAAAAUAAAGUUAUGGACAUAAAAAACUAUUUUUAAAAUAUGUUAAAAACAAUUUUAGAUUUUCAAACAGACUUUUAUUUUAUAAAACAUCAUAAUAUAACGAUUUUUAAAAAUUGUUUCUAAAAACUAUUUUUUCAUAACCGUUUUCAAAACUAGUUACCAAACAAGGCCUAUUUUUCUGUCUUAUUAUUUCUUUGGCAUAACGUAUGAAACUUAUUUUAAAUUUAAAAUUAUUUUUCCAAUUAAAAAAAAAUUAUGUCCAAGAUUUACAAGAUAUUGUAAUUCUUUUCAAAUAAUUGAAAUAAAAUAAUUAUAAUCAAUAUUUAUUAUUUAUAAAAUAAAAUAGAGAAUAGUUUUUUAGAAAAUAAGAGCUUAUUUGGCGAAGUUUUUAAAAACCUAUUUAAUUAUUGUUCUUUGUUUUCAGUUUUUUAAAAUUAAGUAAGAUAGAUAACAACUUUUAGAGAACGAGUAAAAAUUGUUUUCAUUAGUUUUUAAAAACAAUAGAAAAAUACGGGUCUAUUUGGUUCCUAUUUUCAAGAACUGUUUUCUGUUCUUGAAAACAAAAAACACAAAAAACUUGUUUGGGAAAGGGGUGUGUUUUUGUUUUUUGUGUUUUUUGUAUUCUCAUAAACCACUUUUUUGAGAAUAAUAAAAAUAUGUUUUCAUUGUUUUUUCACUGUUCAAAUAAUAUAUUGUUUUUCAUAUUUUCUCUUCCUUUUUCUUGUGUUUUCUUAGCUGUUUUUUGUAUUUCCACAAAUGUAAGCUCCACCCAACCACCACACCCUUACCCGCAAACCCUUUCUUCUUCUUUAAGUUAUUGAAAUUAAUAUACUUACACAUGAUGACAAAGUUAUCCUUUAUUUAAGAAAAUUAUAAUUGGUGUAAAUAUUUCAAAAUGGAAUAAUUUAUUUAUUUUUAAUUUAAAUGAAUUGUGCAUAUGAAAAUUAUUUAAAUAUUUAUAAUAUUAAGUUAAUGGAAGAAAACACUUUAUUAACUAAAAAAAACAUGUUUUUUCUUUUACUUAUUCUAAAAAACUUUUUUAUUAACUCAACCAAACAUAUAUAUAUAUAUAUAUAUAUAUAUAUAUAUAUUUUUAGAACAAAAAUUGUUUUCCAAAAUUCAGUUCCCAAACACAAUUCUUUUUUCUUUUUUUUUUCCUGAAAACACAAAAAAUUGUUUUUAAAAACUAUUCUCAAAAAAUGUUUUACAGAACAGUUUUAAAAAACAGCAACCAAAUAGGCCUACAUACACUCUAUUAUUUCUCUUCUACAUAAAAUUUUUAUUUAUUUAAUUUUUUUUGUUAAACAAAUUAACUCCAAAUUAAACAAAACUUAAUGCUUGAGUUUGUUAACAAGUCUAUUAAUUUUUAAAAAUAAUUUAAAACUUAAAUAAUAAACUUAUUAAUACCAUAAAUUUAUUAAUACAAUAAAAUAUCAUUUUUCUAACAUAUAAUAAAAUAGUAUAUUUUUUACUAAAAAUAUAAUUUAUGAUUUUAUUAUAAUAUUACUAUUUAUGUUUUACUAAAAAAAUAUAUAUUUAAUUAUUUUCAUUUUCAAUAAAACUUCAAUUUAAUUUAAUUAAUUAAUAUUAUAUAAAUUGAAUUUAAAAUGUUUUUACAGAAUCAAGAUAAUUUUUUUAAAAAAAACAAUUUAUACGAACAAGUUUUUUUGUAUUUUUAUUUUUAAAAUCCUUUUAUAAUAAUAACUUACCAAAUAUCCUUAGUUUUAUAAAACAUUAUAAAAACCUUUUAUGAUUCUUUAACUUUAAAAAUGUUUCUAAAAAAAGCAUAAGAAAUCAUGAUCAAAUAAAAAAAUUUUAAAAAUUAAUUAAAGUACUUAAUUGACUUGUAUUAAAAAUAAAUAUUAAAAUUAUUUUUAUCUUAUAGAAAUUUUUGUUUCACUACAAUAAAAAAAUUGUUUCAUAAUUUUUUAAAAAAAAUUACUUUUAACUCACAUAUAAUUAUGGAUUUAAUUUUUAUUUUUUAAUAAGACUUAACUUGAAUUUGAUUUCAUAUUAUUAUAAAUUAAUUUUAUAAAUUAAUUUUAUAAAAAUUUUAUAAAAUAAAAGUAAUACAUUGUUUUUAAAAACAAUACAAAUUCUUUCAUCCAAACAAGCUUCUUGUUUUUUUUUUUUUUUUAAAACAACUUGCCAAAUACAGUUUUUAAAAAAUUCUAAAAAAAGUGUUUUUUAUUCUCUAUUUUAAAGAAAUUUUUAAAAACAUAGCCAAAUGGACCCUAAGUUUUCACUAUUUUUUAAAAAUAUAUAUAUAUAUAUAUAUAUAUAUAUAUAAAAUAAAAAAAUCAGAAAAAAAUAAAAUUGAACAUGAUAGCAUUCAUUUUUUCUCUUCACAAAUAAAAUUUUCAAAUAUGAUAUUCCUUUAAAUUACGCAUACUUUUCUAAUUUUUUUUUUAACUUUUCUAAAAUUAUUCGUGAAAUAAAUAAAUUUUAAAUUAAACUAUGCUUGAAAUAUAAAAUUUAUUACUUUUAAAAAUAAUUUAAAACUCAAAAUUUGAUUUAAUUAAUACUAAAAAGUCAUAGAACUCAAUAAUAUUAGUAAAUCAUUGACCAAAAUUUAUUUUAAAUGUCUGAAUUAGUUAAAAUAAAUUCCUAAUUAGUUUCUUCUUUAUGUAAUAAUAAUAAUAAUUGGUUUAGAAAGACUUUAUCAUUUCUCUUCUAUAUAUAUAAUCAUUAUUUUUUGAUUUUUUUUCACUAGGCAAAUGAAUUCUAAAUUAAACAAGACCUAAUGUGUUAGAUUUAUUAAUAAAUCUACUAAUUUUUUUUAAAUAGUUUAAAAUUUAAAUAGUGAAUAAUUAAUAUAAGAAAUUGAUAGACAAAAAUUGGUUUAAAACGACGUUAUUAUUGCUCUUCUACAUAGAAUCUUUAUUUUCUGAUUUUAUUUUUUAUUUUUUAUUAAGCAAAUGAAUUCUAAAUUAAACAAGAUUCAAUGUUGGAUUCAUUAAAGAGUCCACUAAUUUUUAAACAUACUUUAAAACUUAAAUAGUGAACCAAUUAAUACAAAAAAUUUACGAACAAAAAUUGGUUUAAAACAACCUUAUUGAUUCUCUUCUACAUAGAAUUAUCAUUUUCUUUUUUCUUUUUUUCAUUAGGCAAAUGAACUCAAAAUUAAACAAAACUUAAUGAGAUAAUUUCAUUAACUAGUAACCUUUAAAAAUAACUUAAAAUUUAAAUAAUGAACCAACCAAUGUAAAACAUUUAUAGAAAAAAAAAUUGGUCUAAAAUGACUUUAUGUUGUAAAACAAAGUGGGAGAAGAAGAAGAAAACAAGAAAGAGAUAAUAGAAUGCACGGGGAAUACUAAAUAGAUUUUCAUUAGGGUUCCUUUCUUUUGAUAGAGAUUCACAAAGAGAUAUACAUCAUUACGAAUGAUCAUCCAUAAAUUCUAACAAUGCUACAAAUUCUUAUAUUUUAUAACACUCUCCAUUGCAUGAUCAUAAGAAUAUUGUAACUGUCUUGUUAAAAUCCUUGCUAGUAAAACUCAGUGGGACAAAACCUGGACAAAGGAAAAAAUAGUGUAGUAUAUCCAUAUUAGUAUUCUCCUCAUCAUGUAGACAUGAUUAUGAUUUCUUCAACACUUCAAUUGGUAGAUCUCUCAAUCUUAGCAUUUUGAUGUCAUACCUUAACUUUUUCAAUGUGGUUGAAGGUAGCGCAUUUGUGAAUAAAUCUGCUAGAUUAUUGCAUGACCAAAUCUGUUGAACAUCAAUUUCACUUUUCUCCUAGAGCUCACGAGUAUAAAAGAAUUUAGGGAGACAUGCUUAGUUUUGUCACCUUUUAUGAAUUUUUUUUUUAAUUUGUGCAAUAUAAAAAACAUUAUCUUCAUGUAACUUGGUUGCAUUGCCUCUGAUGGAAGGUAGUCCACAUGUUUCUUGAAUAUGUUAAAUCAUGGACCUUAGCCAUACACAUUCACAACUUGCUUCAUGAAUUGUAAGAAUUUCUAAAUGAUUUGAAGAGGUGACUACCAUUGUUUGCUUGACCGAUCUCCAAGAUAUUGUCAUACCACCAUAAGUAAAGACAUAUCUCGUUUGAGAUUGAGCUUUAUGAGCAUUUGAAAGAUAUCCUACAUCUAUAUACCUAAUCAAUUGUGAUUUUGAUUCUUUUGAAUAAUAUAAGCCCAUGUCACUUGUUCCAUGAAUCCAUAUAAAAUUGUUAUAAUACUUUCUCUAUAUAUGUUGAUUGAUGGACUAAUAAGCCAUUUGAACAAUGCUCGAUCUACAAGUUGAGACAAUAUCUUGUUUUCCUUAGAUCUUUGUGAGCUCUUCAAAAGUCCCUCAUAAAGGUUCAAAUCACCCACAUAUACUGCAAUUAUUGUAAGCCUAGUUUCCGAUUUCUUGAUAAAAACACAUGAGAAAAUUAAAUUAUUCACAUAUCAUUCUUUUAACAAAUACUCACUUAAACUAUUAUACCACAUGUAUCCAUAUUGCUUUAAUUCAUAUAAAGAUCUUUGUAGUUUGAUUGUGUACAUGUUUCAAGGUUUUGGAUUAGUUGCUUAAGGCAAUUUGAAUCAUUUAGGGAUUUUCAUAUAUAUGUUAGUAUUUAUAGACUCAUAUAAAUAGGUUGUAACAACAUGUCACAACCCAAAUUCCAGGCAACCCAAAAUUUGGCCCAUGACCCCAAGUCAAAGGUUUGAUCCUAAGGGGUUCUCCUAUUCCACGCUGGUAGUCAACCAAAACACUCUAAUUUUUUUUCUCUCCAUGUAUAAACUACACUAGAGUUCCCACCAACUAACAACAUACUAAUCAAAACUCAAAAGCAACAAGAUAUAAUAGUUAUCAUUACAGUCCAAAAAUAAAAGUUCACAGUUAAACAAUUUAAUCAAAAUGGGGUCUCAUUACAAAUCCAUAGUUCACAGUUUACUAAAACAAGUCCCAAAACCAAAAACACAAAAAAUACAACACACUCCACUAGGCUGUUCCAGGGGCAUCCUGAAGUUCUCCCUACCCCACUUAUGGAUCCUUAGGAGUGAUAUGUGCAUCUAAAAAUAUGUAAAAAUGAAGGGGUGAGCAUUUCACAUUGCUCAGUAGGGUGCCUAACACCUAAGGGGUUAAUGGGGAUUAUUAAGUUUCAAAAGAACAUAAAAGAAGCAUUUCAACAACAUUGAUCAAGCCACAUAAUUUAAUCUCUAUAAUUAUACACAAUUCCACAAUAUUCAACAAUUAAAUGAAAUGCAUAUGAACAUGUGACAUAGUCAUACAAUGCAAUGUCGUUCUCGGGCUUUCACCGAAGAAUACACGUCCACACCCAAAUACACUCCCUAUUCGAAGUCUUUUCGGGGUAAACUUUUGGGUCUUUCACCCUAGGGAUCUCUCUCUCUUCUUAAUUCGCCUCACACGGGCCUUUACUUUUCAUCACUAUUCAUUUUUCUCUUUCUUUUGCCAUUUCAAGCACUUUUCACAGUUUUUAUCAUUUCUUCACACAACCAUGAUGCAAAUGCAUGCCAUGAGGUUAAUUACUCUCAUUCAUAUGUAUCACCAAUAUCAUCGGAAUUACAAUCAUGCCACAAUUCCAAAAUUUUCCAACAAUUCCAACAAUCCCAAUAAUCAAACAUGAUUAUUUUUUCACAAUAAAAUUACAAAAAAUAUUCCAACAAUUUCUCAAAAAUUCACAUAUCAAUAAAUUAUAACAUAUACAACAAUUUUAUAAUUUUCCAACCAUUCCAAUAAUUUUCAAUAAUCAAACAUGAUUAUUUUUCCACAAUAAAAUCACCAAAAAUAUUCCAACAAUUUCUCAAAAAUUCAUAUAUCAAUAAAUUAUAACAUAUACCACAAUUUUAUAAUUUUCCAACCAUUCCAAUAAUUUCCAAUAAUCAAACAUGAUUAUUUUUCCACAAUAAAAUCACAAAAAAUAUUCUAACAAUUUCUAAAAAAUUCACAUAUCAAAAAAUUAUAAUAUAGACCACAAUUUUAUAAUUUUUCAACCAUUCCAAAAAUUUUAAUAACCCAAAAACAACCAUUUAUUAACCAAACAAAAUUUUCCGAAAUCACAAAAAUUCCAAAAAAAUUCCCAAUCAUCCAAUAAAAUUCCUACAGUACAAACAUUAUCUAUUUAACUCAAAAUGACAAUAUCGACAAUUUUUUUUUCCAAGAAAAAACGCAUUUAAUUAAAGUUUUAGGGUUAGGCUCCCCUAUCAUAGAUCUACGAAUCAGACCAUUAAAAUCAAGAUCGACCACCGUAGAAUUGUUCAUCUCGUCGAGUAGAACACCUCUUCAAAUUUUCAGGCGAAAUGGACGACAUUCGACCCUCCAAAUGGCUGGCCAAAGAUCCGGCGGAAAGACUUUCUCCACAAUCGCUAAUAACUCUCUCUUCUACCACUUUCUAAUGCCUUUUCCUUUUUAAAAAACCCAAUUCAUUUUGUUUUUUUUCUUUAACCACAAAUCACCACAAGCCCACGACUCAACCAAACAACCUUUUGAAUUCUUUUCUUUUAUUUAUUUCGUUUUACUUAUUUUUAAUUUCAUUUCCAAUUUACUUCAUUUUUUUUUAACAACACAAAAUGAUUUAUUAAACACCAACCCAAAAAUUUAUUUUUUCUCAAAUUUAUUAUUAAUCAAUUUAAUUUAAUUUUUACUUAAUUAGUUUAGAUUAAUUUUAAUUGAUUCAUUUUUCAUUUUUCGUUUAUGAAAAUUUUCAAUUUCUAUAAUCCUAAGAAAUUUUCUAUCAUAAGGCUGACGUGGCACAAAAUUUUCAACUCACAUAAUUGACCAACAAAAUAAUUUGAAUUUCACAAAUUCAAAAUUAACACGUGUUCUCCAAUCACUUUUCUUUUUUACUUUCCAACCACCACUCAAAAGAAGACUUUUCAAACUAAAAAUUCUAACGUAGCCUAAAAUAUCCGGUCAUUACAUCCAAUCCCCCUAAAGAAAUUUUGUCUCGAAAUUUAAAUGAACUUACCUAAAAAAUUAUAGAAGAGUUGCGGAUAGUAUGGUCUCAUUUCUUUCUCAGGUUCCCAAGUGGCUUCUUCUAUCCCAUGGUGUUGCCACCACACUUUGAUUGCAGGGAUCACCUUGUUCCUGAACCUAUGUUCUCCAACUUCCAGAAUCUGUAAAGGUUCCUCCACAUAAGAAGUAUCUUCACUAAUUUGAACAUCUUGCAAGUCCACUACCUAAGUUGGAUCUGGAGUACACUUCCUUAGCAUCGACACAUGGAAGACAUCAUGCAUGAGGGACAACUAUUGAGGCAAGAUUAACUUGUAUGCCACUGGCCCAACUCAUUUAUCAAUCUGAAAUGGUCCCACAAACCUAGGGGCUAACUUUCUCUUUUUCCCAAAUCGAAAUAUGCCUCUUUGAGGAGACACUUUUACAAACACCCAAUCUCUUUCCUCAAACUCCAAGAGCCUUCUUUUUUGGUCUGCAUAGCUUUUCUGUCUAUCUUUGGUAGUCUUAAGUUUUUCCUUGAUGAGUUGUAUCUUUUCUAUAGUCUCUUGGACAAUCUCAAGUCCCACCAAACGACUCUCACCCAUCUCUAUCCAACACAAGGGCAAUCUAUAAGUUCUCCCAUAGAGUGCUUCAUAAGGUGUCAUGCCAAUACUAGACUAGAAACUGUUGUUAUAAGCAAACUCUGCCAAAGGUAAGUAAUCUGCCCAAUUUCCUCCAAAGUCCAAAACACAAGCCCUUAAUAUGUCUUCUAAGAUCUGGAUCACUUUUUCUGAUUGAUCAUCUGUUUAAGGGUGAAAAGCGGUGUUAAAAUUCAAUUGGGUGCCCAAAGCCAUUUGUAAACUUUGCCAAAACUGAAAAGUAAACUCAAGGUCCCUAUCAAACACUAUAGACAAAGGUAUCUCAUGCAAUCUCACAAUCUCUUAUGUAUACAACUUAGCCAAAGAGUUCAUGAAAUCAGUAGUCUUCAUGGCUAGAAAAUGAGCUGACUUAGUAAGACGGUCCACUAUCACCUAAACUCCAUUUUUCUUGCUUCUAGUUCUUGGCUACCCUAUCACAAAGUCCAUAGUGAUAUGAUCCCACUUCCACUUAGGUAUAGGUAACGUUGCAACAACCCUACAGGCCUCUAGUGUUUAGCUUUCACUUGUUGGCAAGUCUGAAAGUCAGCUACAUACUAAGCAAUAUAUCUCUUCAUCCCACUCCACCAGAACUGUCUUUUUAAGUCUUGAUACAUCUUGACAUUCCUAGGGUGGGUGGUAUAUUUUGCCCUAUGAGCAUCUACUAGAAGUUCCUUCCUCAACUUCACAUCCCUUGGCAUACAUAACCUUUCUCUAAAUCUCACACUCCCAUCUACAUGUAUAGACCAAUUUUCAUCUACUUCACAUUCUACCAACUGGGCUUUAACUUUUUCUAAAAACUCAUCAUGAACUUGGGCCUCCACUAUUCUUUGGAUAAACAUUGGUCUAGCUGAUAUACUAUACAAGCAUGGAUCCUGUCCUUUCCAACCAAGACAUAGCUCAAAAUCCUCAAUAACUGCAUGCAUCUCAAACUCUCUCAACCCUAAGCUAGACAACUGACCAUAGCUCUUCCUACUCAAGGCAUCUGUUAGAACAUUCGCCUUUCCAGGAUGGUAAUGAAAAGCAAAAUCAUAAUCUUCCAAUGUCUCCAUCCACCUCCUCUGCCUAGAGUUUAGAUCCUUUUGAGUGAAAAUGUAUUUCAAGCUCUUGUGAUCAGAGUACACCUCAAACUUCUUUCCAUACAAAUAGUGUCUCCAAGUCUUAAGGGCAAACACCACUACUGCAAGCUCCAAAUCAUGUGCUGGAUAAUUCUGCUCAUGCUGCUUUAAUUGUCUUGAGGCAUAAGCUACCACAUUGCCUUGCUGCAUUAGCACACACCCUAGCCUCACUGUAGAAGCAUCACAAUAAACCAUAAACAACUCUCCACUAAUAGGAGAAGUUAACAUUGGAGCAGUGGUCAAUUUCCGCUUCAACUCCUGGAAAGCAUUCUCAUACUCCUCAUUCCAUUCAAACUUCACUCAUUUUCUAGUCAACCGAGUCAUUGGUGCUGCAAUCCUAGAGAAGUCUUCCACAAACUUCCUAUAACAUCCAACUAACCCCAAGAAACUUCUAACCUCAAAUACAUUAGUAGGCUUUUGCCACUCCUGCACAACUUCUGAUUCACGCUUGACUUCCCAGCCGGAUCUUUUAAUCAAAAACAUUUAUAAAACCUAUGACCUUAUACUGGCGUAGCAAAGCUACUAUAGUAUAGCAGUUCUAGGGUCGAACUCAGGGAUGGGUUUUCACUCUACCAAUGAUAGACUCUAAAUUAGAAAUUGAUUCUGAUGAUUUCCUUUAGCACAAACUUGAAAUUUAAAAGAAAAUAAAAUUGUUUUGAAAGUGGUGAUUUAAACUAAACUCACAUAGAACUAAGUAAAAAGUGGAAGAAAGAAAGUCUCCCGGAGCUAAAGGUUGCUAGGUUUAAGUUCCAGAAGCAAAGUGGAAAAUUCCGGAUUUUUCUCCUCGCAUUGGGGAUUUAACCUAUAGUUAUUUCCCGAACCGGUAUAGGUUUGACAAUGAAGUUUUAAUCCAUAAAAAGUCACUAGAGAUGGUAGUCAAGGUCCAUUAAUGGCUUGAGACACUAUGGGCUAUUACCUUGAAUCACUUUCCAAUGGCUCGUACAUGAUAACUAAUGGACUGAUAUGGAUCUAGCAAUAAGCAUCCACAGAGACCUUAAGCUUACCAUGUAUUGGCCAGUCAAAGUGAUCCUAAGGGAUUUAAGGCAAAACCUUGGCUUUAGAAGCCAUUUAUGGACUCCAACUACCUGAAUUUAAUGCACGGAAACUUUCCACCUUUUAAUCUGGACUUUUCACCUAGCUUCCUUUACUCCCAGAAACUAAAUGUUUAGCCUCUCAUCCUCUGGGAAAACAUCCUCAGAGGGUGUUUGGCUUGCAAGAAAAUAGAAAAUAGAAGAGAGAAAAAGAAAGUAAAAGAGAUAUCUGUAUUUCACUAAGUAACAAAUUUACAAUAGUUGGUCUCCUGGAGAAAGCUCCCCGACGAAGAUAUCUUUUCAGUGAUUACAAGAGAAUUUAUAUAGGAAGGUAGUUUUACCCUUCCUUGGAUACUUCCUAGCUAAGGAAUUACAUGGUUGGUUGAAUACAAGGAGAAAAUGGAAAUUUAAACACAAAAAUAUCAGAAGAAAAAGAGUCGGCAAAAAUAUCCAAUUUUCGCACGCUGAGUUCCAAUUUCGCAUGUUGGUUUGAGGUGUGCGAAAUUUUCGCACAGUGGACUGAGGAUUUCGCACCUUAAACAGUGGUGUGCGAAAUUGUCCCUCAGCUUGAUGCAGUUGUCUUCUGAAGUCCAUAUCUUCCUCAUUUCAGCUCCAAAUCAUACGUGGUUUGAACCAUUGGAUUCUUGACUUUCUGAGCUUCGAAAUGGUAUAUAGAAUGUAAAGAAUGGACUUCGGGAAGUGCUCCAAAAGUGCACUAAAAGACUGCAGCUGUGUCCCCUGUUUUCAUCCCCUGUUUUCUUCUUCUCCAUUGUUUCUCCCUUGUAAACUUUGAACGAUUAAGGCAAAGGAUUAUGAGGCUCCAUAGCUUGAUUUCUUCAAAAAUCAAAGCUUCCAAAAGCUUUGCCAUGAACUAUAAAUAGCUCUCCCUCAUUCUUAAAUUGCUUUGGUGGGCAUAAAGCUAUCAAAAAGCACCAAAACUUAACACAAUUGUUAGAAAUCUGAUUGCAAGGGUCCCUAACAUGUUAAUCGAGUUAAAAGGUAAUAAUUACUACUCAAGAGUGUUUAAGAGAGCUAAUUACAAGCUACAAAAUAACAUGUUUUGAGUAGUAAUCACUCCCCCCAACCGACAUAUUGCUAGUCCCUUAGCAAUUAAAGAGAGAAAAACUAAGCAAACGUAAUAAUAUAUAUAAAAGAGGUCAUGCAAUUCAUUCCAAAAAAUAAUUGAGUGGCAUGACUGAUAUCCAAACACAUCUCACCUGGUGAACUAAAGAUAUGAAGAUUCAAAAUGCAAUAGGAGUUAUCAAAGCUUAAACUUAAACAAAAAGUACAAAGAGUGGAGAUUAUGCAAUUAAGUAUCAAAAGAAUCUCUACUCUCAAGGUUUCAAAUCAAACUCUUCCAUAAUAAGCUAAGUGUUAAUGAAAUUAGCUUCCGGAUAUAGUAUAUACAACUAUCCUCACCCUCCAACCUAAGCUUUUCUCGGAUAUUGGCAACAUUAACCAACUCUUAAUAGGUUAAGAACGCACCUUCUUAUUCACAAUUCUUUUUACUUACUAAACUUAACCAAUUCACCUAUGUAGCAAGCAGAGGAUCGAUGACUCCCAACCAAUCAAGGUUUAGGGCAUCGGGUUUUAAAGGCUUUCGCCACCCCUUCGGAUCAUGCUUAGGUUUCAAGGAAAGAAUAGAAGCUUAUUCUCUUUUUCUUUUUCUAAGACUCAUUGGUCUUUUUCUAAGACUCAUUGGUCUUUAUGAGGUGUCCCAAUACUAUUAAAAAGAGGUUAAGUAAUAAACCAAGUCAAAAUUUUCCUAAGCUUAGAAAGUGAGAAAGUUUUACAUCUUAUAUCCGGGAUCUAAUGUGCACAGUGUGUGUAAAGCUCGAAAUGGAAGAAGAAAGUUCAAAAUCAAAGAGGCUUCAAUAGAUUAUCAACUUUGAAAGCAUAAAACAAACUCUAAGACUUAAAUAAUUAAGUUAAAACUCGACUUAUCCUAUUUUAUUUUUGAGAAAUUAUCUUUAACAACCAGAGAGAAUGAUUCAAAAAAACUUUUAAAAAUUUUAAAUUUUAAGCAAAAAUCAACUAAAAUACCAAAAUAACUUAAUAUUGACAACAAAACUUCCUUUCUCAAUUCUCCCCCCCAACCAAGUUGAACAUUGUCCCCAAUGUUUCAAAAGCGAUUAAAAAUAAAGGGAGGAAGUGGUACAUCCUGAGUGAGACAAAGUCUGAGUGUAAAGGAGGUAUGGAGUACCUUAAACCACAUGUUCCAAGGACAAAAGAGUAAUGAGAAAAGGGAAUAUAAUCAAAAAGGAUAUAUAUAUAUAUAUAUAUAUUACUUGUAAAAGAAAUAUACAAUGUAUGAUUUCAAGUAAUACUUCCAAUCCCAAUUUAUAACACAUGCAAAAGAUGGGAUUUACAAGUCUAAAAUAAAAAACAAGUAAAACAUAAAAAGAUCAGAUAUGAGUGGGGUCAUGUGAUGGCUCUGCUCUGAUCUCCUCCUCUGGUAUAGGCUGCUCAGCUGGCAAGCUCUCCUCAUCUGGCACUAGAGGCUCGGAUGGUGCAGACCUAUCAUGCCCAAGAGGAGUCUGCAUACUCAGAUGCUGCUGAAUCUGAUGAAGGAUCGUGGUAUGCUGGGCCUGAGUAGCAAUGAUCUGAUCCUGGUGUGCCCGAAUAGUGGCCAUCUGGUGGAUAAUAGAAUCCUGAGCAGUGCUCAGUGUCCGCAAUGAACGCUCUAAGCUUCUGAAUUCCGUAAGAGAAACGGUGACAGUGGGCUCAGAUGAAGGAGGAGGUGCUGGGGUAGCUGGUACGACUGGUGGAGCACCCUGAGUGAUAGGGGAGGUAGAAUGUAUAGCCUCGGGCAUGUGCACUGAGGGGUGUGCUGCAGGGGCAGGAGGUGGUGUCUCUGUGAGAAUCUCAUCCUGCUGGGCCUGAGGUAUCUGCUCAUCUCGGGGUAGCUCUGGAGGUGCAUGUAUAGCUGGGGCUCCCUGAGGUGCAAAGUAGGCUACCAAGUGAUGCCAUUUGUCGAGAGAGAAGUCCUCUCGGCAAUGGCGGCGCCUCUCAAGACGGGGCUCUUCAGGAUAGCCCAAGUGCUCUAAAAUCUGGCAGAGGAGCCUCGAAAAUAGUAAUGGGAUGCCAUCUGCCCUCUGAAGCUUCUUCUGAUGGACUUUCUCUUCAAAAUGAAGAAGAGAAGUCAUAAUCAAAUGAUGAGGCCCGAAGAAAUAGCCCUCAGAAAUCCUGAAUAAUGCCUCAAGUAUAGCUCCUCUCCUCUGAACCUUAUGCUGAAGGGGGAAUAGGUUGGCACGCAGGAGCACAUCAAUGAGGAGCAUCCCAGAUGGAAGCUCUCUCCUGGUCAAUACCGAGGCUGUAGAAGUCCCCCUGGACAAAAUACGGACCAUGUCACUCUGAGAGAAUGAGGACCACUCCCUGAAAUCUGCCUGAAACACGGGCUCAUAAGGUAUAUGGAGGGCCUCAGCAAUGUGACGAGCUCCAAUGGCACCCUGACGUCCGUCUAUAGUAAACUGGAUGAGGGUAGGAUUGCGGAGACCUCGAGUAGUCAUAGAUUGAUAAAAAUCUAUAACUACUCUGGGAUAGUAGAAUUGCCUAGGAGUGAGAAAAGACUCCAUGUGAUACCUCUGCAGCAGUCGGAAUGAAUCUCUGAGCUUUGGCUGCUGUCUGAGGGCCUCUAUAUCAAAGUAGGUCUCGGAAUGAAAUGAUCUAUCUCUGCAAUCCAAGUUACCCUCAAUCGGCGGUCCAGCUAUCAUGGGACGCCUGAUAAUGGCCUCGAGAGGCAUGUCCACUGGAAUCCGAGGUUCCUCUGUAGCUGGCUCUGGCUGAGGUGCGUGGGAUGGCUCUCCAGGACCCGAGAACCUGGUCCUCUUCGCAGGGGGCCGAGAAACAGAGCUCGCGGCUUGCUCGGCUGGUGGCACAGGUUCCGUGGGUGGCCUCCGGGUGGGGUAUCGACGCUGAGAAGGAACUUCCCCCUCAGAUGGGGGAAUGGUCGGGGCCUGAACAGGAGGUGAAGGUGCGACUCCCAUGGCGGCUCGCUGUGGUCGAGGGGUCAGUGAGGAUGGGGAGGCGGAAAGGCCUCCUCUGGUCUUCACCAUGGCCGAAAUGACGGAAUGUGGGUGCUCGAGGUUCCAGAGGCUUUUCUGCUGACAGGUGGGGGAGUCCUUUGAGCUUCUAGACCUCAAAGGUUUAUAUAGGACUGAGGUUUAAGGGAUUUCUGAUGCUUUAAAAUUUUCCAAGGCAGCCGAAAAGUCGUUUUUGGACAUUAGGCACAAUUUCGGGGGUAAAAUUUUAAUUUAAAAGUCCGUUUUAAAUUUUUAGAACUUAGAAUUUUACCGUGCGAAAUUUUCGCACCUUGGUCUGUCCAUUUCGCACCUUGGAAUUGGGUGUGCGAAAAUGGCACCCUUUUUUGCUGAAGAUUUCGCACCUUAAAAGGAGGUGUGCGAAAUUUUCGCACCUUGAAUAGUGGUGUGCGAAAUUUUCGCACACUGUUUCGCACCGUGCGAAAAUGAGCUUGAGGUGUGCGAAAUUCACACACGUGUGCUAGGAGAGGAUUUCGCACCGUGCGAAAAUUUUCGCACCUUCCACAGUGGUGUGCGAAAUUGGAUUUUAGGAAAUUCGCACCUUGAAAACGGAUUUCGCACCUUGAAAUUGAUUUCGCACCUUGAGGUAGGGGUGUGCGAAAUAUUCUUCCUUUGGUCCAAGGAUUUCGCACCUUGGUUUUGGGUGUGCGAAAUUUUCGCACCUUGAAAUCAGGUGUGCGAAAAUUUGGCACCUUGAAAUUAGGUGCUCUGUUUCCUUGGCUUUUCUCCCCUUGGCUGCUUUUGACGAGCUCUCCCCAUCUUUCAUGAUUUUUUUUUCUGAAAUUUAUCAUCAAAAUUAACUUGAAUUAAGACAAUAUAAACUAAGAUUAGGAGAAAAUUAAAAUAUAAAGAAAUAAAAAUACUAAUAUAACUAUAAAACUAUAACAAAAAAUUCAUGGACUUCUUUAGCCCAUGAUACCCUGCUUUUCCUCAAAGUUGUGGUGGUUCAAGGAGGUUGAUCUCCUCCUUGUCUGUACUGUAAGGCUUUAAGAAUGGCUUGAGACGAUGACCAUUGACUUUGAAGGUUUGAUUGCCUGUGGGAUUGAAUAUUUCCAACACUCCGUUGGGAUGCACUUCAUGAAUUAUGAAAGGACCCGUCCACCUUGAUUUCAAUUUACCUGGAAAGAGAUGAAGUUUAGAGUCAUAAAGCAAAACUUUUUGUCCUUUGGUAAAAUUCUUCUGAUUUACCAACUGAUCAUGCCAUUUUUUCAAUCUUGCUUUUGCAAUUUUUGAAUUGAGGUAUGCAUCAUUCCUCAAUUCCUCUAAUUCAUUCAAAUCUAAACAUCUCUUUAACCCGGCUCUUGACAAAUCCAUGUUCAGCUUUUUGAUUGCCCACCAUGCUUUAUACUCAAUUUCCACUGGAAGGUGACACGCUUUGCCAUAAACAAGGCGAUAGGGAGACAUUCCUAGAAUGGUCUUGUAAGCGGUCCUAUAAGCCCAUAAGGAAUCCAGGAGCUUGAUAGACCAAUCCUUCCUAUUCACAUUGACCACCUUCAUCAAUAUAUUCUUGAUCUCACGGUUGGCUAACUCAACUUGGCCACUAGUUUGAGGGUGAUAAGGUGUAGCUACCUUGUGCUUAACCCCAUAUUUGGCUAGAAGAGUCUCAAAAGGUUUAUUGCAAAAGUGGGUUCCCCCGUCACUUAUAAUGGCCUUUGGCACUCCAAAUCUUGCAAAGAUGUUGUCCUUGAGGAAUUUAAGUACCACUUUAUGAUCAUUGCUCCUACAUGGGAUUGCCUCUACCCACUUAGAGACAUAAUCCACUCCUACCAAGAUGUAGGAAUGUCCAAAUGACAUUGGAAAUGGUCCCAUAAAGUCUAUACCCCAGACAUCAAAGAUAUCCACUAUUAAGAUGGGGUUCAAGGGCAUCAUAUUUCGGCGUGUUAGCUUACCAAGCCUUUGACACCGAUCACAUGCCUUACACAUAGAAUGGGCAUCCUUGAAAAGAGAGGGCCACCAGAAGCCUGAUUGGAUCACUUUCAUUGUUGUUUUCUGGGAGGCAAAAUGACCUCCACAAGCACUAUCAUGGCAAUGGGAGAGAAUUCCCGAUUGCUCUUGCUCAGGAACACAUUUCCUUAUAAUUUGAUCUGCACAAUAUUUGAAAAGAAAAGGUUCCUCCCAAUAAUAGGCAUGGAUCUUAGCCAAGAAAUGCCUCUUGUCUUGAGCACUCCACUCACUUGGUACUUCUCCAGUAACCAAAAAGUUUGCAAUGUGAGAAUACCAUGGAGCUAAAUCUACUGACAUGAGAGACUCCUCAGGGAAGUCAUCAUUGAUAGGUAGACCAUGUGAGUCAUGUGCUAUCACUAGUCUGGACAAGUGGUCAGCUACCACAUUUUCUACCCCCUUUUUAUCCCUGAUUUGGAGAUUGAAUUCUUGGAGCAAAAGAAUCCAUCUUAUCAAUCUUGCCUUGGCAUCCUGCUUGGUUAGCAAGUACUUCAAAGCAGAAUGGUCAGUGAACACUACUAUAGAGGACCCUACCAAAUAAGCACGAAACUUAUCCAAGGCAAAAACUACAGCCAACAACUCCUUCUCAGUAGUUGUGUAGUUCUUUUGAGCCUCAUUCAAAGUUCUGCUUGCAUAAUAGAUCACAUAGGGCUUUCCAUCUUCUCUUUGCCCUAAAACAGCCCCCAUAGCAAGAUCACUUGAAUCACACAUUACCUCGAAAGGUAAUUUCCAAUUUGGGGCUCUCACUAUUGGUGCAGUUGUGAGGAAUUGCUUCAAUUCCUCAAAACUUCUCUGACACUUCUCAUCCCACACAAACUUGGCAUCCUUUACCAAAAGCUCACACAGAGGUUUUGAGAUUUUUGAGAAAUCCUUAAUGAACCUCCUAUAGAAUCCUGCAUGUCCAAGGAAUUGCCUAAUUCCUUUAACAUUUGUGGGAGGUGGCAACUUAACAAUAAGUUCCACCUUUGCCUUAUCUACCUCAAUGCCAUUUUUGGAGAUGAUAUGUCCUAAGACAAUUCCUUUUUGUACCAUAAAAUGGCACUUCUCCCAAUUUAGCACUAGGUCUUUCUCAAUACAUCUAUGGAGAACAGCUUCUAAAUGCAUCAAACACUCCUCAUAAGAACUUCCAUAUACAGUGAUGUCAUCCAUGAAAACUUCCAUGAUGCGUUCGACCAUGUCACUGAAGAUGCUUAGCAUGCAUCUUUGGAAAGUUGCAGGAGCAUUACAUAGACCAAAGGGCAUUCUCCUAUAUGCAAAAGUACCAAAGGGACAAGUGAAGGUUGUCUUUUCUUGAUCUUCCAAAUCAAUUUCUAUUUGGAAGUACCCUGAAUAACCAUCUAGAAAACAAUAGAAAGGAUGUCCUGAGACUCUCUCAAGGACUUGGUCCAUGAAAGGCAAUGGAAAAUGGUCCUUCCUAGUCACUGAAUUCAACCUUCUAUAGUCUAUACACACCCUCCAUCUUGAGGUAGGACGUGUAGAGACUUCCUCCCCUUUCUCAUUCUGGAUCACAGUGAUUCCAGAUUUCUUUGGGACUACUUGGGUGGGACUCACCCACAAACUGUCUGAAAUGGGAUAUAUGAUCCCAGCUUGAAGUAGCUUCAAAACUUCACUCCUCACCACCUCUUGCAUGUGAGGAUUCAGUCUCCUUUGGGGCUGCCUCACUGGUUUUGCAUCAUCCUCCAUAUAAAUAUGGUGGGUGCACACCAAAGGGCUAAUCCCUUUUAGAUCAGAAAUUUGCCAUCCAAUGGCUUUCUUACAUUUUCUGAGGACUCCUAAAAGACUAUCCUCUUGAUCACUUGUGAGGGUUGAGGAAACCACCACUGGACAUUUCUCAUCAUCCUCCAAGUAUGCAUACUUCAACUCCACAGGAAGUGGCUUUAAAAUAAGCUUUGGAGGGUCCUCCACAGCAACUCCUUGUGAGUCUUACUGGUUGAACAGUGCUAAGAUCUCUUCCCGUCUCCUCCAAGGAGACAUAAUGGCUAGCACAUCAGAGGGUUCAGGGAACCCAUCUUCAAGGACUUCCAGGUUUUCAUUCAAGCUCUCCUCUAAACUCUUGUCACAGUGCUCUUCAACCAAAGUGUUGAUCAAGCAUACUUCCUCAAAUCCUUCUUCCUCUUCAGGGUAAAGAUGCCUCUUACAUAAGUGGAAUAUGUUUACUUCCAAAGUCAUGUUUCCAAAUGUGAGCUGCAUCACCCCAUUCCUACAGUUAACGAUGGCAUUUGAGGUAGCUAGAAAAGGCCUCCCUAGGAUGAUUGACACAUAAUUUUCUUCCUUGACAGAGGAAUCAGUAUCAAGCACCACAAAAUCCACAGGAUAGUAGAAUUUGUCCACUUGAACUAGAACAUCCUCUAUCACACCCCUUGGGAUUUUGACUGACCUAUCAGCUAAAGAGAGGGUCAUGGUUGUAGGCUUUAACCUCCUAGUCCCAGUUGUUNNNNNNNNNNNNNNNNNNNNNNNNNNNNNNNNNNNNNNNNNNNNNNNNNNNNNNNNNNNNNNNNNNNNNNNNNNNNNNNNNNNNNNNNNNNNNNNNNNNNGACCUCUCUCAAAAUUGAAAGACUCACCAUCUGGGGUUUCAACUUCAUGAACACCCUUGGGGAUUUUGGCUUGGUUGAGAGGGGAACUUUCCCUUCUCAAUCACUGUGUUUAGGUUGGUAAGCCUAGAGAUGGAGUACUGAAUAUUAUCUAUCUUCUGAGAUAGAUCAUUUUGCAUCCCCUCCAUUCUUUUAAUUUGAGAACUCUCAACAUUUUCAAUCUUUUGAUGCAAUUGGGAGUUGAUUGCCUUUUGUUCACCCACAAAGUCACCCAUGACUUUACUCAGGUUUACAAUGGCUUGCUCCACUGAAGAUGGUUGCUGAGGUGCUUGGGUUUGGCCUUGUGGUUGGUAUGGAGGUGGUCUUGGUUUCCAAGAAAAAUUUGGGUGGUUUCUCCAGCUUGAAUUAUAGGUGUUUCCAUAAGAUGCACUGUUGUUGGGCCUAAAUUGCCCCACAACAUUUACUUGAUCACCUAACAUCUCUCUCACAGCUGGCAUGGUUGGACACUCAUCUACCACAUGAUCACAUGAUUGGCAAAUGGUGCAUGGCAUGGCAUGGGCUUGAGUUUCGGAAAUAGCUUGGACUUCAUGCAUCUUUUUCAACUCAAGUUCUUCCAACCUCCUUGCUAUUGUUGCCACCUUAGCUUUAAUGUCCACGUCUUCACUCAACAUGUACAUUCCAGCCUUUGGAUUUUGGGUUUGUUGAGAGGGAAAUUUUCCUUUCUCUCUUGAGUUGGGCUCAUCCCAUCCUCUUGACACCUCAGCCACGUAACUUAAGAAGUCCAUGGCUUCCUCAGGAUUCUUACUCAUAAAAUCUCCCCCACACAUGGUUUCAAGAAUUUGCUUCAUAGAAGAGGACAUUCCAUCAUAAAAAUAGCUCACUAAGAGCCAUGUAUCGAAACCAUGAUGAGGACAAGCAUUGAUGGCUUCCAUAUACCUUUCCCAACACUCAUGAAACUUCUCAUUUUCUUUAGCAGAAAAAUUUGAGAUUUGCCUUUUCAACCCAUUGGUCCUAUGGGUGGGGAAAUUUUUUUUCAAAAAUUCAGCCUGAAGAUCCACCCAAUUCCUUAUGCUUCUUGGCCUUAAAGAAUUAAGCCAUAUUUUUGCCUUGUCCUUUAAAGUGAAAGGGAAUAGCUUGAGUCUCAUCAAGUCUAUUGAAGCUCCUCCCUCUCUAAAAGUAUUACAUACCUCCUCAAAUUCCUUAAUGUGAGAAUAUGGAUUCUCACUCUCCAUUCCAUGGAAAGUUGGUAGGAGGGGUACAAUAUGGGGUCUUAUAACCAACUGCUCAAGAGGGGGCAGGAUGCAUGAGGGUGCACUCAUCCUUGGGGGAUGCAUUCUAUCCCUCAUGGAUAGAUAUGCAUUGGGAUUACCCCCUUGACCUUGUUGAGAAUUCUGAUCCUCUGGUGGAGGGUCCAUGAUAUUUACACAGAUAUCCAACUCUGUGUCUUGAGGAUUCUCAAUCCUUACUAAUCUUCCCUCUUGGUCCCUAAUCCAAUAGGGCAUGCACAAGUUACAAUUCCUGUAAUAGUAAAAACAAAAAGGAAACUAAAGAAAAGGUUAAAGUUAGGAAGAAAAUGAAAAUAAAAUUAACAAAAAGAAAAUGAAAGAAAAUGAAGUUAGUGAAAAAGGAAUUCACCCUGGUUGUGAUGAAAAUCACAAGUAGCCUCUAAAAGGUUGUAUCACUGUAUUGUGGCACCAUCCCCGGCAACGGCGCCAUUUGAUUCACGCUUGACUUCCCAGUCGGAUCUUUUAAUCAAAAACAUUUAUAAAACCUAUGACCUUAUACUGGCGUAGCAAAGCUACUAUAGUAUAGCAGUUCUAGGGUCGAACUCAGGGAUGGGUUUUCACUCUACCAAUGAUAGACUCUAAAUUAGAAAUUGAUUCUGAUGAUUUCCUUUAGCACAAACUUGAAAUUUAAAAGAAAAUAAAAUUGUUUUGAAAGUGGUGAUUUAAACUAAACUCACAUAGAACUAAGUAAAAAGUGGAAGAAAGAAAGUCUCCCGGAGCUAAAGGUUGCUAGGUUUAAGUUCCAGAAGCAAAGUGGAAAAUUCCGGAUUUUUCUCCUCGCAUUGGGGAUUUAACCUAUAGUUAUUUCCCGAACCGGUAUAGGUUUGACAAUGAAGUUUUAAUCCAUAAAAAGUCACUAGAGAUGGUAGUCAAGGUCCAUUAAUGGCUUGAGACACUAUGGGCUAUCACCUUGAAUCACUUUCCAAUGGCUCGUACAUGAUAACUAAUGGACUGAUAUGGAUCUAGCAAUAAGCAUCCACAGAGACCUUAAGCUUACCAUGUAUUGGCCAGUCAAAGUGAUCCUAAGGGAUUUAAGGCAAAACCUUGGCUUUAGAAGCCAUUUAUGGACUCCAACUACCUGAAUUUAAUGCACGGAAACUUUCCACCUUUUAAUCUGGACUUUUCACCUAGCUUCCUUUACUCCCAGAAACUAAAUGUUUAGCCUCUCAUCCUCUGGGAAAACAUCCUCAGAGGGUGUUUGGCUUGCAAGAAAAUAGAAAAUAGAAGAGAGAAAAAGAAAGUAAAAGAGAUCUCUGUAUUUCACUAAGUAACAAAUUUACAAUAGUUGGUCUCCUGGAGAAAACUCCCCGACGAAGAUAUCUUUUCAGUGAUUACAAGAGAAUUUAUAUAGGAAGGUAGUUUUACCAUUCCUUGGAUACUUCCUAGCUAAGGAAUUACAUGGUUGGUUGAAUACAAGGAGAAAAUGGAAAUUUAAACACAAAAAUAUCAGAAGAAAAAGAGUCGGCAAAAAUAUCCAAUUUUCGCACGCUGAGUUCCAAUUUCGCAUGUUGGUUUGAGGUGUGCGAAAUUUUCGCACAGUGGACUGAGGAUUUCGCACCUUAAACAAUGGUGUGCGAAAUUGUCCCUCAGCUUGAUGCAGUUGUCUUCCGAAGUCCAUAUCUUCCUCAUUUCAGCUCCAAAUCAUACGUGGUUUGAACCAUUGGAUUCUUGACUUUCUGAGCUUCGAAAUGGUAUAUAGAAUGUAAAGAAUGGACUUCGGGAAGUGCUCCAAAAGUGCACUAAAAGACUGCAGCUAUGUCCCCUGUUUUCAUCCCCUGUUUUCUUCUUCUCCAUUGUUUCUCCCUUGUAAACUUUGAACGAUUAAGGCAAAGGAUUAUGAGGCUCCAUAGCUUGAUUUCUUCAAAAAUCAAAGCUUCCAAAAGCUUUGCCAUGAACUAUAAAUAGCUCUCCCUCAUUCUUAAAUUGCUUUGGUGGGCAUAAAGCUAUCAAAAAGCACCAAAACUUAACACAAUUGUUAGAAAUCUGAUUGCAAGGAUCCCUAACAUGUUAAUCGAGUUAAAAGGUAACAAUUACCACUCAAGAGUGUUUAAGAGAGCUAAUUACAAGCUACAAAAUAGCAUGUUUUGAGUAGUAAUCAACUUCCACUUUGGAAUGGUCCACUACUAUUCCCGCCUCAGAAACCACAUGGCCUAAGAAAUUCGCUUCAGUAAGCCAAAACUCACUUUUGUCCAAUUUCCUAUACAAUUGAUGUCUUCUUAAAGUUCUAAGGGUGGUCACCAUAUGCUGCUUAUGCUUCUUUAAAUUCCUGGAGUAAAUCAAGAUGUCAUACACAACAAUCAUAAACUGAUCCAAGUAAGCACAAAUUAUUCUAUUCAUUAAAUCCAUGAAAGCAGUGGGGACAUUAGUUAACCCAAAAAGCAUGACUAAGAAUUCAUAAUGCCCAUAUCUUGUUCUAAAAGCAGUUUUAGGGACAUCUUCUUCUCUAACCCUCAAUUGAUGAUACCUAGUUCUCAAGUCAAUCUUACUAAAAUACUUCGCACAUUUCAACUGAUCAAACAAGUCAUCUAUCCUUGGAAGAUGAUACUUAUUCUUCAUGGUAACUCUAUUCAACUUCCUAUAGUCAAUGCACAACCUCAAGGUGCCAUCCUUCUUUUUCACAAACAACAUUGGGGCUCCCCAUGGCGAUGUACUUGGACGAUAAAACCCUUACUCAGCAAUUCCUCCAACUGAGUUUUCAACUCCUUCAACUCAAGAGGGGCCAUCCUAUAGGGGGAUACUGAAAUAGGAUCCGUUCCUGGGUAUAGUUCAAUAGAGAAAUCAAACUCUCUAUGUGGUGGUAAGCUUGACAACUCAUCUGGGAAUACAUCCUAAAACUUUCUCACCAUUGGAAUUUUUGUAAUAUCCUUCUAGGCUUUCUCUUUACUACAAAGACAAGCUAGGAAAUUUAUUGAUCUAUUCCUCAACANNNNNNNNNNNNNNNNNNNNNNNNNNNNNNNNNNNNNNNNNNNNNNNNNNNNNNNNNNNNNNNNNNNNNNNNNNNNNNNNNNNNNNNNNNNNNNNNNNNNGAAGCUAGGAAAUUUAUUGAUCUAUUCCUCAACACGUACUGAUAGCACGAAUCGGACUAUGAAAGAGGAAAACUAACACAUUUCCCUCUAACAAAGCAAACCUCAAAUCCAUCUAGCAGAAAAAAAAUUAUCCUACGGCAAUGACAAUCAAUAAGGGCUCUAUAUAUCGUCAACCAAUCCAUUCCCAAGAUAACAUCAUACCCAGUCAUAUCCACAAUCCUCAAAUCCACCUUAAGUGCUCUAUCUGCCAAGGUAAUAAUGCACCCCUUGCAUAGUCUAUCAACUCUACAAUUCGUACCCAUAGGAGACUCGAUAAGUAAUAGAUUUUAUACUUUUUUCGUUUUCAACCCCAAAGCAUUAACACAAGAUGCAGAAAUGAAAGAAUCAGUUGCGCUAAUACCAAACAAAACAUGCACCCAAGUAUUAUAUACAAAAAUUAUACCUUCCACCAAAAGAACGUCAUCCUCUAGCUCUGUUGGGGUCAAGGUAAAAACUCUUCCUGUUGCCUACCUCCUCCUACCUCUAGCAUUCGACCCUUGAGAAGAACGGGUCUGACUACUCAUGGUAAUUGUCCUGAUUCCAUGCAUUGCUGGGGGUAAAUGCGGCAUUUGGUAGUAAGGUAACCUAAACUGAGGGGGUUGGAAAGACAUUAUUGGCUGUUGUUGGGAACCUUCCUGAGAUUGAGGUCGAGUCUAUUGUGCGCCCCACAAUGGGCAAGCCCUCCAUAAGUGGUCUCUCAUUCCACAACCAUAACAUACUCUAGCAGUAGCCACUCUCUGAGCAUUCUGCUCACCUCCUGAAUAGAACAAAGAAUGUCUCUCAAAUUGUUGACCCAUUGCCUUUGCUGCGGGCCCUAGGAUCUCCUCUGGGAACUUUCCCCUAUUCUUUGUUUCCCUUUUCUAUCUCUCAUUUGCUCCCGAAUUUGAUUGGUUUCCUUAAUGUCUUGCUCCACCAACAAAGCCCUCUUGACCAACUCAGAAUAGUCCCUUAUAGCCAGUGGGACUAAUCUAUUUCUAAUAGCAGGUCUCAACCCCUGUUGGAACCUCCUAGCCUUUUCUUCUUCCUCAUUAAUCAUCCCCAAGGCAAAUCGGGACAACUCUGAAAAAUGAGACUCAUACUCCAGCAUCAACAUAGUUCCUUGGAUGAGGUGCUCAAACUCCAUCUUCUUGGCAUGCUUAGCCACCUCUCCACAAUAUUUGCUUAGGAAGAUUCUCUCAAAUUCUUCCCAAGUCAUCACCUCUAUGUCGUACACUUUUUUCACUGAUUCCCACCAGAAAUCAGCUUUGUCACCAAGCAUGUAUACCGCUAGACUUACCCUCCUUUCCUCAGGUAUGUCCAGCCCCACCAGAAUUCUUUUCAUCCUCCUCAAACAAUGCUCAACUGCUUCCGCAUUGGGCUCUCCAUUAAAAGAUGGAGGUUGCAUCACCAUGAAUCUCUUCAUCACCUUUAUCUGGCUCAUUACUGGCCUCUUAGAGCGGCUCUUCCUGUGAGAGUGAUUUGAAUCCUCUUGGCCCUGGGUACCUCCAAACCUCAUGGAACCCUGGUCUCUCAUCAACUAGGCAGUCUCUCUCAACUCCCUUCUUACUUCUCGGAGUUCUUCUCUUACCCUUCUCUUACCGACUCCAACUCCUCAUCUCUCUCAAAUCUUCCGCUUCAUGUCUUUCCCGCCAUUUCAAAUUGAAUAAGCCUUAAUUCAACCACACUACCCAGGUGAGCAAAAUAAAUUCACAUAUAACCAUUUAGAAACUUCAACAACUAUCAAAACUUUCACUUUCCUACAAUCACAAUACAUAAUUCAACAUAAUUAACACCAUAAUGUUUUUUACUAUCAUCAACAAGCACCAUUAGAAGGUUUUACAAACAUUAAGAAUCAACAGUUAAAUAAUUCAAUUAAUAAUCAGUUCGUUAGCUAAUAUAUACAGAAAAAUCAUAACAUAACCAACAUAACAAUACACAUAAACACCCACAAACACUGACCCCAAGGUAUCAUUGUAACAUUGGCUCUGAUACUACGUUGUCACGACCUAAAUUUCGGGCAACUCAAAAUUUGGCCCAUGACCCCAGGUUAAAGGUUUGAUCCUAAGGGUUUCUCAUACUCCACGUUGGCAAUCAACCAAAACACUUUGAAUUUUUUUUUCUCCACGUAUAAACCACACUAGAGUUCCCACCAACUAACAACAUACUAAUCAAUACUCAAAAGCAAUAAGAUAUAAUAGUUAUCAUUACAGUCCAAAAAUAAAAGUUCACAGUUAAACAAUUUAAUAAAAAUAGGGUUUCAUUACAAAUCCAUAGUUCACAGUUUACUAAAACAAGUCCCAAAACCAUAAACACAAUAAAUACAACACGUUCCACUAGGUCGCUCCAAGGGCAUCCUAAAGUCCUCCUUGCCCCACCUGUGGAUCCUCAAGAGUGAUAUCUGCAUCUAAAAAUAUGUAAAAAGGAAGGGGUGAGCAUUCUACAUUGCUUAGUAGGGUGCCUAACACCAAAGGGUUAAUGGGGAUUACUAAGUUUCAAAAGAACAUAAAAGAAGCAUUUCAACAACACUGAUCAAGCCACAUAAUUUAAUCUCUAUAAUUAUAUACAAUUCCACAAUAUUCAACAAUUAAAUGAAAUGCAUAUGAAAGUCUAACACACAGUCAUACAAUGUACUGUCGUUCUCGGGCUUUCAUCGAAUGAUAUGCGUCUGCACCCAAAUACACUCCCCAUUCGGAGUCUUCUCGGGGUAAACUUUUGGGUCUUUCACCCUAGGAAUCUCUCUCAUUUCUUAAUUCGCCUCACACGGGCCUUUACUUUUCAUCACUAUUCAUUUUUCUCUUUCUUUUGCCAUUUCAUGCAUUUUUCAUAGUUUUUAUCAUUUCUUUACACAACCAUGAUGCAAAUGCAUGCCAUGAGGUUAAUUACUCUCAUUCAUAUGUAUCACCAAUAUCAUCGGAAUUACAAUCAUGCCACAAUUCCAAAAUUUCCCAACAAUUCCAAUAAUCCCAAUAAUCCAAUAUAAUUAUUUUCCCACAAUAAAAUCAUAAAAAAUAUUCCAACAAUUUCUCAAAAAUUGACAUAUCAAUAAAUUAUAACUUAUACCACAAUUUUAUAAUUUUCCAACCAUUCCAAUAAUUUCCAAUAAUCAAACAUGAUUAUUUUUUCACAAUAAAAUCACCAAAAACAUUCCAACAAUUUCUCAAAAAUUUACAUUUCAAUAAAUUAUAACAUAUACUACAAUUUUAUAAUUUUCCAACCAUUCCAAUAAUUUCCUAUAAUUAAACAUAAUUAUUUUUCCACAAUAUAAUCACAAAAAUAUUCUAACAAUUUCUCAAAAAUUCACAUAUCAAUAAAUUAUAACAUAUACCACAAUUUUAUAAUUUUCCAACCAUUCCAAAAAUUUUAACAACUCGAAAACAACCAUUUAUUAACCAAACAAAAUUUACCAAAAUCACAAAAACUCCAAAAAAAAUCCCAAUCAUCCAAUAAAAUUCCUACAACAGAAAUAUUACCUAUUUAACUCAAAAUGACAAGAUCUACAAAUGUUUUUCUAAGGAAAAACACAUUUAAUUAAAGUUUUAGGGUUAGGUUCCCCUACCAUAGAUCUAUGAAUCAAACCGUUAAAAUCAAGAUCGGCCACCAUAGAAUUGUUCAUCUCGUCGAGUAGAACACCUCCUCAAAUUUUUAUACGAAACGGACGACGUUAGAUUGUCCAAAUGACCGGCCAAAGAUCUGGCGGAAAGACUUUCUCCACAGUCGCCGAGAACUCUCUCUUUUCUAGCACUUUCUAAUGCCUUUUCCUUUUCCUUUUCCUUUUUAAAAAACCCAAUUCAUUUUUUUUUUUAACCACUAGCCACCACAAGCCCAUAGCCUAACCAAACAACCUUUUGAAUUAUUUUCUUUUAUUUAUUUGUUUUGCUUAUUUUUCAUUUCAUUUCCAAUUCACUUCAUUUUUUUUAACAACACACAAAAUGAUUUAUUAAACACUAACCCAAAAAUUUAAUUUUUCUCAAAUUUAUUAUUAAACAAUUUAAUUUAAUUUUUACUUAAUUAGUUCAGAUUAAUUUUAAUUAUUUCAUUUUUCAUUUUUCGUUUUCUAAAAUUUUCAAUUUCUAUAAUCCUAAGAAAUUUUCUAUCAUAAGGUUGACGUGACACAAAAUUUUCAACUCGCCUAAUUGACCAACAAAAUAAUUCAAAUUUCACCAAUCCAAAAUUAUCACGUGUUCUCCUAUCACUUUUUUUUUUGACUUUAUAACCAUCACUCAAAAUAAGACUUUUCAAACUAAAAAUUAUAAUGUGGCCUAAAAUACCCGGUCAUUACACAACAUCUAUGAAACAUAUAUCUAGUCCUUCAGAGACUAUUAAACUUAUCAAGUAUCGAAAUGUGAUUGCGUUCAUUAUAGAGGAAUAAGUUUCCUCAUAAUUUAUACUAGGUCUUUGCAAGAAACCUUAAGCAACAAGUUGUGAUUUAUAUUUUGUAAUUUCAUCAUUCUUAUUUUGCUUUCUCACAAAGACCCAUUUAUAUAUAACAGACUUGAUGUUUUCAAGUGUUUGAACUAUAGGUCCAAAUGGUGCAAGUAGAAUCAUUUUAGAUUUUGAAAGAUUGAGAAAGGGUUAAAUGAGGAAAUAAGUGAGUCAAGACUCAUGGACCAUGAGGAAAGGCAAAACGAGGAUAUCAUGAGUUUGUAAGAUGAUAAAUGACCAUUAUUGAGUAAAAAAUAAGGCAAGAAAACAUGGGAAAUGAGGCAUGAAGCAAGAUUUAGCUGCAUGGAAAUUUAUAAAUCUAAUGGAAACAUAUACUCUGACUUUGAGAACAAAUUUUGAGUACUUAACAGAGUCCAUUUUAUACAUACUAUAUAGAUUUUCAAAGAUUGGGAAGUUAGGAGUCCAACGCUUCAAACGGUGUACAAAUCGAAGUUGAAAUGAAGAAGUUAUGGUCAUUUGAAGACAACUGCACAAAGUUGAAGGGCCAUUUCAAAAUGAUUUUGAAAUUCAACUUAUAAAUUUGAAAUCCAACUUAUGAAUUUGAAAUCCAAUUCAAAAUGACCCCAAUUUCAAAUUCACCCACUUCCACUUUGAUGUUUUGUCUCCUCUACCUCAGGAAUUGUAUCUAGAGCACUCCAUCUGCCUUAAGUGGGCCCUAUAUGAUUAGAAAUCACCAUUUUAUUAUUUGUUUAGUCAUUUUUAGGUAAUUGUUUUGUAAUAAGUGGCUAAUGAGAGUGUGCCACAUGUUAGGUAAUUGAUGAUAUUAUAUAAACUCUUUUAGUUCUAGGUUUUAAAAAUCUUGGAUCUUUUUCUAGAGUUUUUGACAUUGAAGGUGGAAGAAGACGAGAACUUUGGUUUGUUUUCUUUUUCUUUAUUAAAUAUAUUGUUUUUAGUUUCUUUUUAUUCAAAUUAUGGAUUUUUACCAUGGAUUGUGAAUGUGACAUCACCCCCAUGAGAGGCUAAGAAGCCAACUUGGAGCUUGAAACAUGAAAACCUAAGGGCUAGGAAACCUAUAGGGACAAUGGGUAAAUUAUUAUAGUAAUGAGAUUAAUUAUUGGUUGGGUGACAAUUUAUCAAUUUUUAUUUUUAUUUUUUUAUCUUAUCCUUGUGAGUUAGUUUAGGGAAUGAUAUGGUAGGUUAUUACCUGAUACUAGUGAUUCUUGGUAAUUAUUGAUUAUUAGUUAUCCUAGUCUUCCCUAUCGUUAUUUGCCAAAAAAAAAAAUCUAUAAGGAGUAUGAAGGGUUAAAAAGCCAAAUCUUAAGCUAGUAAUCAAUCUCAUUCAUUUGAUGAUUUUAGGAAUUUGUUUUAAAAAAAGGAAAAGUUAGGUUUCGGAUGCAAAUUUGAGUUAUAGAACUCAAGUUGAUCGUGACUGGCCAAGGAUCUUAAAAUCCUAAGAUCACUUUACUUAAUAAACCCUUAUUAUCUCUAUUUCUAUACCUUACGUUGGAUUGUGGAAAGCCCCAAACUUGAAUCAAUUAAAUUAAAAAUCAAUAUUUUUUUUUUUUUAAAUAAUUUAGUUCUUUUACUUAGUUUCACUUCAUUCACAUAUUAUUUUUCAUUUUAGGAUUUAAAAAAAAAUAAUUCAUUUAUUCUAGUAUUGACUAUUUCCAUAAGCCAGUCCCUGAGGACGAUACCCGAAGUACUACAAAAGUUGUAGUAACUCUUUCUCUUGUUUUUCUUAACCAAAGUUGGUACAUAAAAAGGCUAAGUAUUUUAAUACAACAGAGAAGUUCGGUCGUUGACUUGCCUCUUCUUAAUGACGGGAAAACAUUUUCAUCAAAAUGACAAUUUAUAAAGAAGUCAAUAAAAACAUCACCUGUUAAAAGUUCAAGAUAAUGGAUAAUGAAGGGAGAAUUAAAACCAACAUACAUAUUAAGCCGACAUUGAGAACCUAACUUAGAAUAUUGAGGUGGAACUAUGGGAACAUAAACAACACAACCAAAAUAUGUAAAUGUGAAACAUUUGCUUGGGAGCAGAAAACAAGUUGUAAAUAUGAGCAUUCAUGAUUAGUUGUAGAACGAAUCCAAAUCAAAGUAACAGCAUGAAGAAUAGCAUGCCCCAAAGCAGACAAAGACAAUUUUGUUCUCAAGAGUAAUGAUCUUGCAAUCAGUUGCAAACACUUAAUAAGAGAUUCAACUAAUCCAUUUUGAGUGUGAGCAUGAGCAAUAGGAUGUUCAACAUCAAUACCAACUGAUAUACAAUAAUCAAGAAAUUUUUGAGAGGAGAGUUCACUAACAUUAUCAAGACGAAUUGUCUUAACAGGAUGAUCAAAGAAUUGCACCUUGAGUUAAAUUAUUUGAGCAAGUAACCUGGUGAAGACAACAUUUCUAGUUGAAAGAAGAUAAACAUGAGACCAACAAGUUGAUGCAUCAAUUAAAACCAUAAAAUAACAAAAAUGUCUACUAGGUGGAUGAAUAAGUCCACAAAUAUCACCUUAAAUGUGUCCUAUAAAGGCUGAUGAUUCAUAUUCAACCUUGGUAAAUGAUGUUCUAAUAAUUAAUUUGUCAUGUGAGCAAGCAACACAAUUGUAAUUAUUAGGCAUACGAAUCUUCUAAUUCUUCAAGGGAUGCUCAAAAGAAUUGUUGAUGAUACGACACAUCAUAGAUAAUUCCAAAUGACCAAGACGUCUAUGUGUGGACCCGUAUUUUUCACAUGCGCUUCCAUUUGAUCGGCGAGACUCGUUUUUAUUUCGUGAAAAUUUUAUUAUUUUUGGAAAAGUCGGAGUCGCCAUUUAUUAUAUUUUUAUUUUAAAGGGAAAAUAAAAUAAGAAAGAAAACCCUAAAAAAAAGUGAUUCCAUAGUUUUUGAAAAAGCAUGUCUUUGAAAAACCCAAGUCUAGGUCCGGGGAUUAGGUUACUUAUUGGGAAGGUACCUCUAAGAGGUAACACCCCUCUAAGCCCUAAAGAGGUCUCUACUGACUAAGUUGAGGGGAGCGUGACAAUUAAUCGAUUGAUUGAGGGUACCUAGGUAGACUAAGGUAAUUUCAUAAAUAACAUGCUAAACAAGAAAACCAAUUACAAAUCAGAAAGAAAAUUUAGGGUGUGUACCUGGACUGCUUCCUAUGCGCUAUCACAAGACACCAAAGUUAGUUCAAACAAUAUAUCAUCCAACAUGCGCUUUAUUAUAAAUAAUUGAAUAAUGAAACAAAUAUCAAGACACCCAAGUACUAUCAAACAUAGACAUAGUUCACAGUGACAAGCAUAUUCAUAGGAUUUAGAAAGUAGGUGAUAGAGAGCGUACCUAGGUAGCAUGCAUAAUUUAUAAGAUUCCUCCAAAAAGGCUAAAGUGGUUAGGACAAAUAUUUUUAAAACACUUAAGCUAAUCAGAUGUCCAGAAUCUAGCAUGCACAAUAGGCACGACUUUAAAAAUCAUAUCUCCCUCAAAAAGACAUUUUUUUUUAAAUAUUUUAUGCAUCUAAGAUCAAUUUCUAGAAGCAUAAAAUUGAGGACAAUAUUGUAAAAAGUCGUCUAGUAUUUUAUUUUUGCAAAAAAAUCUCGGGUGUCCAUAACUAGGUGAAAACGAAGCCCCCCUAAAGACUCGUUUAUAUCUUGUAUUCUAGAAUGGCUUUUUAAUUCAAACGAAACUUUAAAUUCAAGUUCAAGAAGUUGGGAAAAUCAUACAAGUUUUGGAAAUUUUUUUAAAAAUAUUUUAAAGUUGCUAAAAUGAAUUUUAAAGCUAAAGGGUCAGUGUUUGAAUGAAAAAUGGUAGCAAGGAAAAAAAAAUUGAAAAUUUUUGCACCAUUAGAAUUGUCCUCCCAAAAUGGCUAUGCUGUUGCAUUAGGAAAAUGUUCCCCACAAGGUAUAAAAUUAAGAUUUACAAAAUCAACACUAAACUCACGAUGGGCGGCUAGAAUUUUGAUGUUAUCAAAGAAUUGAAGAGGAAUUUUAGUGGUCCAAUGAAGUGACCCGUGCUGCUAAAUGCUUAGUUUGUUCAACUCUGAUAGAACUUUGAUGGUCCACCAGAAUCUAUAUCAUCUUCAUAUGUGGACUGUGCAUUUUCUCAAAGUGGCAGCCUCUCUUUUCCAAUGGUGGUUCUCCCUUUUGAAGGUGACGCGUUUGCUCUAAGUGUGGUGGAAAGUGGCAGGCCACUUUGGAGAGAAUUUGUGGCUGCUUGUGGAGAAUAUUAGAAGAGUAGGAAACAAAGAAAACCCAAACCCAAGAAUUCCACAUCUAGCCGGCUGUGUGUGCUGCUCUCCCGCCUUCCUUCCAAUCUUCAAUUUUGUCCGUUGGGCCCCCACAGAAUUACCUACCAAAAAUUUCUAAAUAUGCUCCUGAAAAUUUUCAGAAAACAUCACCAAAAUCUAAACCUAUGCUGACUUUCCUUUUCCAAUAAAAAAAAAUGGUGCCUUGUUAGUGAAUUUCUUCUAAUUUUUAUGAUGCAAGUGUUCCCAAGUUCUCAAAGAAAUAUCACGCACCCCAAGAAUCUCAAGUCGAACUGGUGUUUUCUUCUAGUUUUAUGUGCCCCCCUCCCAAAAAAAUCAGAAUAUGAUGGCACGUUGUUGCAGAUAACCAUGAUGCCCUCCUUCCCCCAACUGGCGUGCUCUCCUUGAAUAGGAUCUCAUUUGUGCGUGAAUCUAGUUGUUCUCCAUUGAUGUGCCUUGAAGAUAUAGUUUGUCAAGUUUGGUCCAAUUCCUGAUUAAAUCAGGUAUUUUCUUGGAUAAAUUAUUCCUAUAGCCAAGGACACUAUUGGCUCAACUCUUGUUUUUGUAUCUACUGUCAACGGUCAACAAACUACGCCCACUUGUUCUUGAAUCAUAGCCAUUAGAUCCACAUCCAGAACCUAUCCGGAAUGCAUUCCAAUACUGGUCAUACAUCCUAUUGUUUGCGUACAUGCGACUCAUGAAUCUAGAAGCCUGUCCCAAGAUAGAUGUCGGCUUUGCAUGCAUCAGUUGCGGAAUAGGGCGAAAAUCCCUUUAGAAUCUCUUGAAUACAGAACCCUUAAUCAAAUAUAGACCCUCAAAGUCCAACCCUAAACCAUAGAUUGAUCCUAAAACCCGUUCCCAAUAAUCCUUUCCCAAUGCAUGCAAAAUAUGUAUCAAGAAUGGUGCAGUUGGUUGAUGGUUCCCUUCCCAAAGACAUUAAUUUCUCUAAAAAAAAAAAAAUCCAUCUUUCAUCCAUGAAUCCACCAUCCAACCUUCCUUCAAUGAUCUCCUCCAGAAUGUUGGAGAUCCCCUCAUCUCUCUGUGUAUGGUUGCAUAUCCUCUUUUGACCCUAAACCAACCUGUUGUUUUUUUCCCUCACGUGCACUCAAUCCCCCAUGUAUUCUCCCCAAACCAGCCUGCUGUUUGCUCCCCCCUUUACUCAGUCAAUCCGCGGUUCCUCUAAUCAGUCACAUUGACUCCACAAACAUGGAAAAAACCUCUCACCAAUCCGGAGAGAGCCCACAAUGUUCUGCGUCAGUCCAACAUGAUCAGAACGAAUCUAGCCUUCAUUCCAUCCCUAUACACACUGAAUAUCUUAUUUUCACCUGCCAAAACUAGCUUUGGUAAGUUUCUUGAACCCAACCCUCCCUAAAACCUUCCUAUCUCUCUCUUUCUUCUCUUUUUCAUAUCCAUUUUAGGUUGAAUGCUCUUUCAAAUCACGGAUGAACCACCUUUCCAAAUAACCAUGUAAUAAUAAUAAAUAAAUAAAUAACAAAAUCAUCCAAUUAAAAAAUAAAUAAGAUUAAUCAUAUGCAUGCACAAGAUAACCAAAAUAUUAUUUCAUGAUAAAGAAACAUAACGCUAGUAUCAUAUAAUUUCCUAAAAAAAUAAAAUAAAAGAACAAAUAAAUAAAUAAACUAGAACCUAGUUAAAACAAAAAUCAAACAAAUAGAAUUCUAGAAGACAAACCUUAGUGCACUAAGCUUAAGGAACUAUCCAAGGGAUCCUAAGUGGGCCUAAGGUGGUGCUUAAUGGGCCAAGUGCAUCUAAACAUGCCUAGGGCGCCUAAGUGAGCCUAAGGUAGUGCCUAAUAAGUCAUGUGUGCCUAAAUGGGCCUAGGGUGCCUAAGUGGGCCUAGUUUGCCUAAAUGGGCCUAGGGUGCCUAAAUGGGCUUAGGGUGCCUAAAUGGGCCUAGUGUGCCUGAAUGGGCCUAGGGUGCCUGAGUGGGCCUAGGGUGCCUGAGUGGGCCUAGGGUGCCUAAAUGUGCCUAUGGUGCCUAAAUGGGGCCUAUGGUGCCUAAAUGAGCUUACGGUGCCUAAAUGGGCCUAGGGUGCCUAAAUGGGCCUAAGACCUAAGUGAGCUUAAGUCUAAAUUAAGGCUGCCAAGAGUCAUAAUGGAGUUAGAUAAAUCCCUCAAUCAAAGUCCCCAAGGUGGAUUAGAAAAGAUAGGUUACACGAGUAGCAAUGGGCCACUAGGGAAUUGCUGUAAAAUACGGAACAAAUACCUAAUAGGACAUGUGCUAGGAAGGCAAAAUGGAAGGUUUACAAAUAUGUCCCUCUUUGAUAGAGAUCAUGAGUGUAGGGAAUAUGAGUAAAAAUAUGAAUUAUGAGUGGAACGAAGUGAACUAUACCGAAGAACUAAAAGAAAUGGACCAGAGAUUUUGUCAUAGCACAUGAUGAGAGUAAGCUCGGAACACGGGAUCGCAAUCACAAAAAUGAAACAACUCUAUGUCGUGAGCACAAGGUUCUAUGCAGAAAGAAUGGCUCAAGGCCAUAGAUGAGAGAAAUGACUUUGGGUCAUGAGCUUAGGGCUCCAAAUGGAAAAUAAAUGACUUUGGGUCACAAAAGAGAAACAACUCUAGGUCGAGAGCUCUGGGCUAUAAAUGGAAAAGAAAUGACUCUAGGUCAUAAAUGAAAAACGACUCUAAGUCGAGAGCUCUGGGCUCUAAAUGGAAAAGAAAUGACCCUGUGUCAUAAAUGAAAAGUGACUCUAGGUCGAGAGCUUUGGGCUCUAAAUGGAAAAGAAAUGACUCUGGGUCAUAAAUGAAAAUCGACUAUGGGUCGAGAGCUUUGAGCUUUAAAUGAAAAAGAAAUGACUCUAGGUUAUAAAUGAAAAUUGACUAUGGGUCGAGAGCUCUGGGUUCUAAAUGGAAAAGAAAUGACUUUGGGUCAUAAAUGAAAAACGACUUUGGGUCGAGAGCUCCAGGCUCUAAAUGGAGAAGAAAUGACUCUGGGUCAUAAAUGAAAAUGGACUCUAGGUCAAGAUCUUUAGGCUCUAAAUGAAAAAUAAAUGACUCUGGGUCAUAAAUGAAAAACGACUCUAGGUCGAGAGCUCUAGGCUUUAAAUGAAAAAGAAAUGACUUUGGGUCAUAAAUGAAAAUCGACUCUGGGUCGAGAGCUCUGGGCUCUAAAUGAGAAAGAAAUAACUCUAGGCCAUAAAUGAAAAAUGACUCUGGGUCGAGAUCUUUGGGCUCUAAAUGAGACAGAAAUGACUCUGGGUCAUCAAUGAAAAACUAUUAUGGGUCAAGAGCUCUGGGCUCUAAAUGGAAAAGAAAUUACUUUGGGUCAUAAAUUAAAAACGACUCUGGGUCGAGAGUUCUGGGCUCUAAAUGAGAAAGAAAUGACUCUGGGUCAUAAAUGAAAAACGACUUUGGGUUAAGAACUCUGGACUCUAAAGGAAAAAAAAAAAACAAAAAAACAAAAUGAAGACCAACUCGAAAGUGGAUAGGAAGCAAAUGGGCUCAAAGUCGUAUGCUCAAAAUGCCAAGGGUUGGACUAAUGAACUUGGGAAUGGAAAUAUGCCUUAGUAUCUAGGGUGCUCCUACUGCUGAAACAACCAGUGAAUCAAUCAUCCGCUGAAAUCACUGAGUUAGAAACUGAUGCGUCAUGACAAACCUCUGAAAAAUCUAAACUAAAAGAACUCUCUUUGUCUCACAAGUUGCUCUGGCGACAAACCUCAAAAUGUAAAUCUCAUAGUGUGUAUUGCAACUCAUCUAAAAGCAUAUCUCAAAGUGCACAAAAAAUAUUGCUCAUCUGGAUAACCCAAUCCGCAAGGUAAUCAACGACGGAAGCAAUCUAUCUCAUGAGCAUUUGGCUAAAGGAUCCACCUAUGCUCCUUGGAUGAAACCUAAUGUGAUCCAUCUCUGUCUCAACAAAUCCAUGUAGGGAGAUCCCGGUACAAUCAAUCGUCGGAAGCCCCAUACUAGUACUCAAUCUAAAACCAAACUGGUCGCUGUCCCAAUCUCAAGGAUACUCAAAGAAAAUGGAGAAAUAUGCAACAGUAUAAGAUCUGAUGUCAAAGUCAUGAGAUAAAUAACCAACAUCAAUCAUCCAUCCUCAUACCAUUGUGCAAACAAAAUCUCAACACGGAGAGGGGGAAUAUGCCCCAGUAUGGAUAUAUGAUACACAACAAAGGAUAUGACAUCACUAGCCAAACAUCUGUCGUCGUCAAUCAGCCAUCUACUAACAUCAAUCAAACAUCUCAAUAAUCAAGAUCAAGGAUAGCCACACAACCCAACCACGACUAAGGAUCUCGAAAAAAAAGGGAAAUAUGCCCUAGUGUGGAUAUCUGGUGCACAACAAAGAAUGAGUCCAACAUCAUCAUUCAGCUAUCCCCAACUCAACAAUAAUCCACUAGUCCAUCUCAGAAAUUCUCCGCAAAUGGAACCUAGAAUCAUGAAAACCGUCAAUGAGCUCAACAAUGCUCCACUAGAAUUGAUAUCAUCUCAACAUACUCCAUUAGGGAUCUACGAUCGAUGAAAAUGUCCAGGCUCAAAGUAAGGGCUCAUCUCAACCAAAUGAAAGGGGAAUAUGCCCCAGUAUGAUAGCUGAUACACAGUAGAAUGAGGGGCCAGACAGCAUCAAAUAUCAUCCAUAUGAUGAAGCAAUUGUCUACAUCCAUCACUAGAUCACCUCCAAGCAUUAAAGAAGCAUCCCCUAGAAGAAGAAAUAGGACAACGUCCAUAUGUCAACCAAAUCUCAAACACCGGCCUAAUUAGAGGCUAUCAAAGAUACCAUCUGAUCUCAUGGCCUCAGGGUGGUCUUAAGACAUGGGACGUAACAUAGGUUAGGGUGAUAAGGUAAAAAAAAUAAAGGGAAACUAGGCUCAAAUACCCAAUGAUCAAAUCCAUACCCUCCUGUACAAGAUGUAAUGCAUAGAAAAAUCUCAUGAUCCAUGGACCUAAAGGUAACCAAAGGAAAUGUUGAUGGCGGAAUGAGAGAAAGGAUAAGUAGUUAGACCAUCAAUGAAACAUGUGAAUGAUGUACAGAAGGUAUAGAACCAGAAAUGUGUAUCAAUAUGUAGGAAAUUGAUAAAAGGUAUAAUGAAGAUCUGGAAAGAGGUGAUGGGAUACAAAAUAAGGCAAUGAGAAAGUGGAAUGAAUGAUGAUCAACCCAUAUCAGUACAAUAAAGGAAAGUCAUAUCACCAAUGAUGGAAUGGUGGAUAAGACAAUGAUUCGAAGACCCUAGUAAAAAGGUUACUCAUCUCUCAUACCUAAUACAUAUCAACCAUGAUCCAAGAAGCAUAGGAUCUCAUAGAACUCUCACAUGAACCCUUGACACUCCAAAUGCAUAACAAGAGUGGCUCAAGGAGUGAAAACUCAUAUAAAAAUCUCACAAGAAUCCACAAUGACAAAUAUACCUAAUAAACAAACCUCAAAAGGUGACAUAAGUGCUCAAUGGAGCAAGGUACCAUAUAUGAACAUAUCAUUGCGUUUUUUUUUCUUUUUUUUUUUUUACAAUUUUUUUUGUUGUGCAUGCUCUGAUCAUCAAUAAAUCAAACUCCAAUAGGAAAGAUAUAAGGAAUGAACAAACUCUUUCAAAUCACUAAUGAAUACAUGAACCCAACCCAUGAAACAACCUCUCAAACUAAAAUCUUCAAAUCAAUACCAAAUGAUGGGAUGAAUGGAGUGAUAUGAUUGUCCUCUUUGCACUAAGAUGUGAAGAAUCAUCAACCCAAGGAAGAGAAUAGAUAAAAUGAAGCAAAUAAUGAUAAAAGCAAGAAAGAAAAUGAAAAUGUGAUGAUAGUAAAAUAGAAUAAAUAGUGUGACAAGGAAAUGGUGACAAGAAUGAAAAUAUAGGUUUAUAAGUCUAAAGUUCAUGAGACUUUCCUAGCAAAGCAUGCAUAUACAUCAAAGGGUCCCAACCCAAGUGUAGAAAUGGUAAUCAAGGCUAUAAGAAAGAAGAAAAAACUUUAACGUACCAUGUGAGGCUCAAUGGGCUAGCAACGAUCUAAUAUAUAGAUAGUGGCGAUAAAGUGUAAGGCUAAUCGAAAUGAUGGCCACCCAUCCUACAACCAUGGUCUCAAAUGUAAUACUUCUUUAGCUUAUCCACAUUGAUAGGGUCUAAGAACUGGUCUCUAUCUAGAUAUGUCAAUCAUAUUUCCUCUCUAAGGUCAACUUUCUAAUGACAUGUGGUGUAUUCCAAGUAAGUCCCCAGGGUCUCUUGGAAUAGAUGAAUCUCCAUGACCAUAACUGGGCUAACAUCGUCCUCAAACAUAUCAUCCACAUAAGCGGGAUGCCCCAACAUAAAUAAACUGAAUCUCUUUUGAACUCUCAACGAUCAAGAUCUUAAGCAUAUCAAGAGAGUGAACUAUCUUUGGCUAACCAUCCAACUAUCAUCCAAUACGUCCAUCUCAGGAUCAUCAUGAAAAAAACCAUGUCAAUUAAAUCUCUCAUCUUAUAGAAAAACUAACAUCCUCUAUAAGAACUCUCAUUUGAUAAACUUUGACCCAUAAUCCACUAAACUCAUCAUAUGUAUGAUGUUACCCUCAACAAUGUUGGGUGGUGGGGGCAGGAGGUAAUGAAUCACACGACAUCUCAUCCCGAACUAGAGAUUAUCUAUCUCAUUGUCCAUCAAUCCUCUGGCUCAACCCUGCUAAUACCUCCUUAAUAGAGUAACGGUGGCAGUCAGUUGAUCAACUAUGACAUACUGAGGGUCCAUACCUAAAUGCUCUGAAACCCUGAUCAACCUACCUCCAACUCUAAUUUAAGAAGUCGAAUUCGAACCAAAACAAAUAACACUCCUAUAAGGUACAAAGGCACGAAAAGAGAAAUGACAUGAAGGAAGCUCAAAAUAGGUGGAAACACACUAAUUACAAUGCAGAAAAGUGGCCCAAUUGAAAAUCAAACAAGUACCAAUCUCUGAGCACACCAAAAAGAGACCAUGAAGAGGAUAACUGAACCCAAUUGUGACCAAGGCAACUCUGAAGGUUCACAGAUGCACCCACGUGUAGGGAUGAAAUCUUAAUUGGGUCUAGGCUAACUUAUAAGGUUGAGGUAGCUCUAUAAGAUAAACUGGGUGAGUUAAAGGAUUCCUAGUAGAAGUGAUCGUACCCUCCGGUGGUACGCAACCCUCUGCACGCCUCCAAGGAGACAAGGUGCUUCCAUGCAAGGUGGUCAUCACCUCCACACAUGCACUUCCUUGCGUUCCCAGGGGGUUUAUUAAUGGUGAAGGCUCUCUCAUAUCUCAACACUCAAGGGUAAUCUAAAGUGCACAGUGAAGGAUGUGAGUGAAUUCAAAAAACCUAAGAUCUAUAGUGAGAUAGUGAACAAAGACAAGCAAUCUUACAAUCAUGCAAGAUAAAUGGUUGUCAUGCAACAAGCAGUCAUGCGAAGCAAAUAAGUAUCAUACAAACAAAGUCCUAUCUAACAUAUGUGAAAGUGAAUCAUGGAGCAAGCAAUCAGGUGAUCAUUCAAGGAUAUAAAACAUGUUAAGAUAGCAUACCAAUCAAGCAAGCAAACUAAAUCACUUUGCCUAAAAAAAAUGAGGUACCCUCUAAUUGACCAAUUAAACGCCACAUUUUCCUCAACUAGUGUUCAAGCUUGAUCCUCCAAAUCUCCAAUGGAGUCGCCAAUUUGUGGACCUGUAUUUUUCACAUGUGCCCCCACUCGAUCGGCGAGACUCGCUUUUAUUUCAUGAAAAAAUUAUUAUUUUUGGAAAGUCGGAGUCGCCGCUUAUUUUAUUUUUAUUUUAAAGGGAAAAUAAAAUAAGAAAGAAAACCCUAAAAAAAGUGACUCCACAGAUUUUAAAAAAGCAUGUCUUUGAAAAACCCGAGUGUAGGUCUGGGGAUCAGGUUACCUAUUGUGAAACCUCUAAGAGGUUUCUACUGACUAAGUUGAAGGGAACGUGACAAUUAAUCGGUUGAUUGAGGGUACCUAGGUAGACUAAGGUAAUUUCCAAAAAAUAACAUGCUAAACAAGAAAACCAGUUACAAAUCAGAAAGAAAAUUUAAGUUGUGUACCUGGAUUGUUUCUUAUGCAAUAUCACAAGACACCAAAGUUAGUUCAAAUAAUAUAUCAUUCAGCAUGCGCUUUAUUAGAAAUAAUCGAACAAUGAAACAAAUAUCAAGACACCCAAGUACUAUCAAACAUAGACAUAGUUCACAGUGACAAACAUAUUCACAGGAUUUAGAAAGUGGGUGAUAGAGGACGUACCUGGGUAGCAUGCAUAAUUUAAAAGAUUCCUCGAAAAAGGCUAGAGUGGUUAGGACAAGUAUAUAUUAUAUAACAUAUUUAUUAUGUCUAAUAUACAGUACCAAAGCCAAAAUUGAGCUAAAAUAAAUCAAAUGACUCAAAAAAUAAAUAACCAAUUCAAGCAAUGUACAAGAUCAACAACAUGCAAUUAGAAAAUGGAGCAUAAAAAAAAUUCUAAAAAAUGGCUUAGAGUGGAAUUUAAUUACGAAAAAUUUUAGGAAACAACUCCUACACAUCUAGAUCAACAUACCCAAGACCAAACUCUCAUUCAAAGGACAGGUUGCAGCAAAGACACCUAAAGGUGUGGACUCGUAUUUUCAUAUGCGUUUCCACUCGAUUGGUGAAACUCGUUUUUAUUUCGUGAAAAUUUUAUUAUUUUUGGAAAAGUCGGAGUCGCCACUUAUUAUAUUUUUAUUUUAAAGGGAAAAUAAAAUAAGAAAGAAAACCCUAAAAAAUAGUGAUUCCAUAGUUUUUGAAAAAGCAUGUCUUUGAAAAACCCGAGUUUGGGUCAGGGGAUCAGGUUACCUAUUGGGAAGGUACUUCUAAGAGGUAACACCCCUCUAAACCCUAAAGAGAUCUCUAUUGACUAAGUUGAGGGGAGUGUGACAAUUAACCGAUUGAUUAAGGGUACCUAGGUAGACUAACGUAAUUUCCAAAACAUAACAUGCUAAACCAGAAAACCAAUUACAAAUCAAAAAGAAAAUUUAGGGUGUGUACCUGGACUGCUUCCUAUGUGCUAUCACAAGACACCAAAGUUAGUUCAAAUAAUAUAUCAUCCAACAUGAGCUUUAUUAGAAAUAAUCAAACAAUGAAACAAAUAUGAAGACACCCAAGUACUAUCAAACAUAGACAUAGUUCACAUUGACAAGCAUAUUCACAGGAUUUAGAAAGUGGGUGAUAGAGGACGUACCUGGGUAGCAUGCAUAAUUUAUAAGAUUUCUCCAAAAAGGCUAAAGUGGUUAGGACAAGUAUAUAUUAUAUAACAUAUUUAUUAUGCUAAUAUACAGUACCAAAGCCAAAAUUGAGCUAAGAUAAAUCAAAUGACUCAAAAAAUAAAUAAUCAAUUCAAGCAAUGUACAAGAUCAACAACAUGCAAUUAGAAAAUGGAGCAUAAAAAAACAAAUUCUAAAAAAUGGCUUAGAGUGGAAUUUAAUUACAAAAAUUUUUAGGAAACAACUCCUGCACAUCUAGAUCAACAUACCAAAGACCAAACUCUCAUUCAAAGGACAAAUUGCAGCAAAGACACCUAAAGGUUCUACAAAGUCCAGAUUUGAUAAGAAAAACUGAUAUGCAUAAACGAAUUUUUAAAAAAUAAUAAAUGAUCACAUAAAAUCAUACAAAAAAUUACACACAUAGUUCAAAGUGUCUAUAUCACAUAAAAAAUGAAUCCAAAGUCAGAUAGUACUCAAAAAUAUUUUUAAAACACUCAAGCUAAUCGGAUGUCUAGAAUCUAGCAUGCACAGUAGGCAUGACUUUAAAAAUCAUAUCUUCCUCAAAAAUACAUUUUUUUAAUAUUUUAUGCAUCUAAAAUCAAUUUCAAGAAGCCUAAAAUUGAGAAAAUUAUUGUAAAAAGUCAUCUGAUAUUUUAUUUUUGCAAAAAGAUCUCAAGUGUCUAGAACUAGGUGAAAACGGAGCCCCCCUAAAAACUCGUUUAUAUCUUCUAUUCUAAAAUGACUUUUUAACUCAAACAAAACUUUAAAUUCAAGUUCAGGAAGUUGGGAAAAUCAUACAAGUUUUGGAAAUUUUUUUUAAAAUAUUUUAAAGUUGUUAAAAUGAAUUUUAAAGCUAAAGGGUCAGUGGUUGAAUGAAAACUAACAGCAAGGAAAAAAAGUUUUUGAAAAUUUUUGCACCAUUAGAAUUGUCCUCCCAAAAUGGCUAUGUUGUUGCGUUAGGAAAAUGUUCCCCACAAGGUAUAAAAUUCAGAUUUACAAAAUCAACACUAAACUCACGAGGGGCAACUGGAAUUUUGAUGUUAUCAAAGAAUUGAAGAGGAAUUUUAGUGGUUCCAUGAAGUGACCCGUGCUGUUGAAUGCUCAGUUUGUUCAACUCUGAUAGAACUUUGAUGGUCCACUAGAAUCUAUAUCAUCUUCAUAUGUGGACUGUGCAUCUUCUCAAAGUGGUGGCCUCUUCUUUCCAAUGGUGGUUCUCCUUUUUGAAGGGGCCGUGUGUGCUCCAAGUGUAGUGGAAAGUGGCAGCCCACUUUGGAGAGAAUUUGUGGCUGCUUGUGGAGAAUAUUAGAAGAGUAGGAAACAAAGAAAACCCAAACCCAAGAAUUCCACAUCUGGCCAGCUGUGUGUGUUGUUCUCCUUCAUUUAUUCCAAUCCUCAAUUCUGUCCAUUGGGGCCCCACAUAAUUACCUACCAAAAAUUUUUGAAUCUGCUCCUGAAAAUCUCCAGAAAACGUCACCAAAAUCUAAACCUGUAUUGACUUUUCUUCACCAAUAAAAUAAAAUAAAAUUAUGCCUUAAGAGUGAAUUUCUUCUGAUUUUUAUGAUGCAAGUCGUCCUUCGUUCUCAAAGAAAUAUCACACACCCCCAAAAUCUCCAGCCGAACUAGUGUUUUCUUUUGGUUCAGGGCGCCCCCCCUCCCCGAAAUCAAAAUAGGGUGGCACUGCAGAUAACCGUGAUGCCCCCCAACUAGCGUGUUCUCCUUGAAUAGGAUCUCGUUUGUGCGUGAAUCUAGUUGUCCUCCAUUGAUGUGCCUUGAAGAUACAGUUUGUCAAGUUUUGUCUAAUUCCUAAUUAAAUCUGAUAUUUUCCUUAAUAAAUUAUUACCAUAGCCAAGGACACUAUUGGCUCAGCUCUUGUUUCUGUACCUGCUGUCAACGGUCAACCAACCACACCCACUUGUUCUUGAAUCAUAGCCAUUAGAUCCAAAUCCAAAACCUGUUCGGAAUGCAUUCCCAUACUGGUCAUACAUCCUAUUGUUUGCGUACACGUGACUCAUGAAUCCAGAAGCCUGUCCCAAGCUAGAUGUCGACCUUGCAUGCAUCAAUUGCGGAAUAGGGCGAAAAUCCCUUUCGAAUCUUUUGAAUACAAAACCCUUAAUCAAAUGUAGACCCUCAAAGUCCAACCCUGCACCAUAGAUCAAUCCCAAAACCCGUUUUCAAUAAUCCUUUCCUAAUGCAUGCUGAAAGUGUAUCAAGAAUGGUGCGGCUGGUUGAUGGUUCCCUUCCCAAAGACGUUAAUUUCUCUAUAAAAAAAAAAUCCACAUUUCAUCCGUGAAUCCACCCUCCAACCUUCCUUCAAUGAUUUCCUCCAAAAUGUUGGAGAUCUCUCCCUCUCUCUAUGUAUGGUCACAUCUCCUCCUUUGACCCCAAACCAGCCUGUUGUUUUUUCCCCCACAUGUAUUCAAUCCCCCACGUAUUCUCCCCAAACCAGCCUGUUGUUUGUUCCCCUCUUUACUCAGUCAAUCCGCGGUUCCUCUAAUCAGUCUCAUUGACUCCACCAACAUGGAAAAAACCCCUCACCAGUCCGAAGAAAGCCCACAAUCUUCUGCGUCAAUCCAACAUGAUCAGAAUGAACCUAGCCUUCAUUCCAUCCCUAUACACACCGAAUAUCUUAUUUUCACCUACCAAAACCAGUUUUGGUAAGUUUCUUGAACACAACCCUCCCUAAAACCUUCUUAUCUCUCUCUUUCUUCCCUUUUUCAUAUCCAUCUUGGGUUGAAUGCUUUUUCAAAUCACGGUCGAACCUUCCUUCCAAAGAACCAUGCAAUAAUAAUCAUAAAAAACAAAAUCAUCCAAUUAAAAAAUAAAUAAGAUUAAUCAUAUGCAUGCACAAGAUAACCAAAAUAUUAUUUCAUGAUAAAGAAACAUAACGCUAGUAUCAUAUAAUUUCCCAAAAAAAAAUAAAAGAACAAAUAAAUAAAUAAACUAAAACCCACUUAAAACAAAAAUCUGACAAAUAGAAUUCCAGAAGACAAACCUUAGUGCACUAAGCUUAAGGAACUAUCCAAGGGAUCCUAAGUGGGACUAAGGUGGUACUUAAUGGGCCAAGUGCAUUUAAACAUGCCUAGGGCACCUAAGUGAGCCUAAGGUGGUGCCUAAUAGGCCAUGUGUGCCUAAAUGGGCUUAGGGUGCCUAAGUGGACCUAGUGUGCCUAAAUGGGUUUAGGGUGUCUAAAUGGGCCUAGUGUGCCUAAAUGGGCUAGUGUGCCUAAAUGGGCCUAGUGUGCCUAAAUGGGCCUAAGGUGCCUAAAUGGGCCUAGGGUACCUAAGUGGGCCUAGGGUGCCUAAAUGGGAAUAGGGUGCCUAAAUGGGCCUAAGGUGCCUAAGUCUAAAUUAAGGCUGCCAAGAGUCACAAUGGAGUUAGAUAAAUCUCUCAACCAAAGUCUCCAAGGUGGCUUAGAAAAGAUAUAUUACACGAGUAGUUUCAUUACUACCAUUAUUCAUAGUUUCAAUGUGAUAUCCAUUUUGACAAAUAUCCUUGAAAUUAAAAAGAUUUCUCUUGGAUUUAGCAUAAUAAAGAGCAUCAUUAAUGUGGAUUUUAGUUCCACUAGGGAAGAUAAUAGUUGUUUUUUCAAAGCCUUGAAUCAAGUCGAUAAGACCUGAUAUUGUAUUAACAUUAAACUUAACCAACGAUAAGUGGGAAAAAUGUUUUUUAUCACAAAGGAUUGUUUGUGUUAUGGCACAAUUUUCAAGACAUGUAUCUACCUUGGAUGUUGUAUGAUGUAUCAAGGUAUGAGAAAAAUCCAUAUAUCUUCAAGUAUAAAUAAAGAAAAUAAUUUAAAUAAGAAAUAAUAAAAUGUGAAAUAAACUAUAAAAGAUGAAUAAUAAAUAAUGUGUUCAAAAGAUAAUAACAGAAUAAAACUAUUUGCAAAGAACUAAAUAAGAACAUAACAUUGAAUCAUAACAAACAUUUCCAUCACCAAUUAGAUGGUUAAUUUUCUCACUAGGAUUCUCAAAGAAGUCUGAAACUUCUAAAUGUGUUAAAUCCACUAGGCUAUCAUCAUCAAUGAAGUUCAUUUCAACUUCAUUUCCUUUUGAUUUUAUUGAGGCUUGAUAAAGGUCAAUCAAAUGCUUUGAAGUACAACAGUUACAUUACCAGUGCCCUUUCAUACCACAUCUAUAACACUUAUUCUCAUGAGCAUGUUUACUUUGUGGUUUUAUUCUUUUUUCAGGUUGUGCCUCUGAAUUAUUCCACUUGUGGUGGUUUGAAUUGUUCUUUUUACUUUCAAUACCACUACGAUAAGAAGAAUUGUUUCUACCACAACCUCGAUUGCGACCACGUCCUCUAUCUCAGCCUAGACCAUAUCCACUUCCUUGUCCGUGUCUAGGAGUUUGGAGAGAUGUAGCAUUGGCUUCAAACAAUGACACAAACCCAGUAGAAUGAGAUUGAUGGUUUUUAAGUCAAAGCUCAUUAUUUUGUUCGACCACUAGUGUCACGCCCCAAGAUCCACUCCAAGGGUGUGACAAUCAUUUCAUACCUCAAACCUAAAUGCUUUAAGUGUAACCUAACCUAAACAAUUAUCUUGUAACUGGAAGUUACCAAUUACCAAAUACUUAUUCAAAGCAGCGGAACAAAAUUCUAAAAUCUUCAAAACUUAACUUAAAAACUAAGCAUCCAUCAACCAAAAUCCAUUAUCCAAAUAGAUUGCAAACUCAAACAAUUCAAGUACUAACAAAAAAUUUCAUAAUCUCCAAAUCUCAACUUCAAACUAUCAUAAAAAUUUAAAAGUUCAAUAUCUAAAUAGCUUCCAAAAACUAAAUAAUCCAAAUGAACAUAAACUUAUAAGCUAACAAUGUCCAAAAAUAACAUCCUAAGCAAAAUCCUAAUGAUGACCAUUCCCCGACCUAGCCAUCACUCCUCACCCGAACUAAGGGUACCUAAAAAAUUAUCAACAAAGGGGAAUGAGUUCAAAACCCAAUAAGGAAUAUCAAUACAAUUUCAUGGAUCAAAUAUUUCAAGUUCACUUGCAAAAUCGAAGAUAUUAUAACUAAUUAUUUUCAUAAACCUUUGAGUCAGUUUUGCCAAUACAUUCAAAACUUUUAACUAUACACUUUCAUUUCUUAUUCAAACAUUUUCAUAUCAAAUUCAGUCAAAACAUUCAAAUCAUUUAUUUACUCUGGCCAUCAAACAUCAAACAGUGUCUAGUUAGGUGGGACUUUUCAAAUAGGUGGCUAGCCUCAAAUUGUUCCUUUAAGGUGGACGAAACCAAACACUACUAGUACUAGUAACCUCUAACCAAACCCCUAAAGGUUGGGGUCCAAAUCAAUUACAUUCCCCACCAAGAAAUGUAAAUGUCAACUAUUAUAUCCCGUUAACAAGAGCCAAAAAGUCAAAAGUCAACUAUUAUAUCCCGUUGACAAAAGUCAAACAAACCAGAGUCAAACACUUAUUUCAAUUAUUCAAAUUUGCAAAACAUAAUAUCUCCACAUUUCUCUGUUAUAAACAAAAUGCAAGGUUCUAACAUAUUUUUCAUGCAAAACAUAUUUGAUCCAUGCAUAAAACGAAUAAUAACUCAAAACGUUUCCAAAUUAUGUAUAUAAAAAUUUGUUUCUAAAAAAAAACAACUACAUUAAUUUCCCUUACCUCAAAAGAAAUCCUAAAAAACUUGGGAGAAAAAUAAUUCUGGAAAAUCUACUCUUCACCUAACAAAAUAUAAGAGAAAUAAUCAUUACUAUUUAUCUAAAAUUAUAGGUUUGACAAUCGUAAAAUUUUAGGUUUUCAAAUUCAUGUUUUUAAUUAUGAAAGAUAAUUUAAUCUAUUCCUAUUUUAGAAAAAUUAAUAAAUUUCUAAUUCAUAUAAAACUUAAAUAUUUUUUUCAAUUUAUUUCUUAGGACACAACAUAAUUUAAUUAAACUACAAUUUAUUCUACUAAUUAAAUUUUAUGUUACUUAUUAACUUACACUCAUCAUUAGUAUAAUAAUAUUGAUAACUUCUAUUCUCUCACUUUCAGUUUUUUUUUUUCCACCUAACAUAACCUAUACACGAUAACUCUCCAUAAUAAUAAUAAUAAUAAUAAUAAUAAUAAUAUAUUCACCACCAAACACCAUCCAUACACAUCUUCCUUUAUUAUUAAUAUUACUGUAUUUUAUUUUAUUUUAUUUUAUUUUUUUCUUUUCACCAUUCUUCAUCUUCCACAAUCACACAUUCUUCUUUCUUUUCUUUUUUUCUAAUAUUUUCUAAUCCCUUAAGCCACAUAUAACAAUAUAUUUAUUUACUCAUUUAUUUUUAUUUUAAAAAAAAAUUCAUUACUUAGAUCUAUUUAUUUAAGAAAUUUUGAAUUUCCCUAUUUUCAUCAAUAGAACAACCUAUAUUCCUAAUUUCAAUAUUUUGACCUAAAAGUUUAAAAUAGGUUAACCCUAGCCUAAAUUGAAAUCUUCUAGAGAAUCAUUUUUUUUUUCAAAAACUUAAGAUUUCUCAAUUUCUAACAAUAAAACCACCAAUAAUCCUAAAUUUCCAAUAUUUUGAUAUUAAAACAAAUUUUAAAAAAAAUAACUAACCCUAAUCUAAAUUAAAAAAAAAAAAUUCAAAGAAUAACUAGCGUAUUCAAAACUAACUAACGAAUAUAAUAUAUUAAUUUAGGGUUAGAAUCUUACCUAGAAAAAACCUGAACUUCAACUCUGAAUCUCUAACCCUUGAGCCCUAUGAUCUCCAAUUCUCUACUUCUGGUUGAUAGGGUUUUUUGAAUGAAGAAGACAAGAGGAAAAAUCCAAUUUAUACCUACGAUUUUUAAUUGUAAAAUGACUCUUUUACCUUUAAUGAAUUUAAUUAAUUACUUAAUUACUUUAUAAAUUACUAGUUUGCCCCUAGAUUAAAUUUUGGGGUGUUACAACUAGAAAACAUGAGAUCAAUUCUGAAAAUUUAGUAAAACAACGCUCUCGAUAUUGCUGUUGUAGGAGCAUAUUCGAGGCAUGAAAAAUCGUAAAUGUUUUUUCAAGCAUAUAUUUUUCAAUAACUUUUUCUCCACAUAAUUUUAAUUGUGAGCUAAUUUUGAAUAAAAUCGAGUUGUAGUCACUAAUAAACUUGAAAUCUUGUAAUCUCAUGUGCAUCCAAUCAUAGCGUGUGUUUGGAAGGAUUACGGUCUUUUGGUGGUCAUAUCAUUUCUUUAAAUUAUUCCAAAUGAUGAAAGGAUCUUUGACCGUAUGGUAUUCACCUUUUAAUCUUUCAUCAAUGUCAUGACAAAGGAAUAUUGAAGCUUUCGUGCAAUCCUGUAGGGAUACAUAAUUUCCUUCUUUAAUGGUAUUUCCAAGAUUCAUUGCAUCUAGAUGAAUUUUAGAAUCCAAGAUAAGUAAUUCUUACUCGAAAUAUCGAGGACAACAAAUUCAAGCUUUACAAGGUUUAACAUUAUUUGAAAACUGUAUGUGGAAUAAUAAUAAUUAGAAAAAUAUCUCAAUUUAUUGAAAUAAACUGUGAAUAAAUUAAUAAAAUUCUUUAACAAUAUUUUGAGUAAAUAAUAUCUAAAAAUAUAAUGACAAAAGAUUUUGCUAUAUUUUGUUAUCAAUUAUAAAUAUGGUAAAAAUGCACAUAUUUUGUUAUGAUUAUUUUGUCAAAAUAAAAAAUGUGCAAAUUUAUGCAUAGCUUUAGGCUAUGAACUAUUUAUUCUAUAACUUCUAGCUAUAUAAUAUUGUUUUGUAUAACUUUUAGUUAUAUUGUAUAAUUAAGAAUAACUAGAAAUCAUAUGUAUAGCUUCUAACCAUAUAUUUGUUAUUUUGUAAUUUAUCCUAUAACUUCUAUUUAUAAGGAUUGCACAUAUUUUUCAUAACUUCUGAUUAUAAUUUUUUUUUUUUUUUCAUGAUUUCUAACCAGAAAGAAAAACACAUUUUCUAAAUAAUAUUUGCACAUAUUUAUGCAUUCAAGUAAGAUAAACGAAAUAGAAAAUCAAAGAAUAAUUUUAUCACAUAAAUAAAAUAGAAAAUCAUAAUAUAAGUUUAUAACAUACUUUUUACAUGAGAAAGAAGAAAGGAAAAUCUCUCUAUUUCUCUUGCAGAGACCAUUUGUGUUGAUAACAUGUUGUAAAAUAAAGUGGGAGACGAAGAAGAAAACAAAAAAAAAAAAAGAAUGCAUAGAGAAAACUAAAUAGAUUUUCAUUAGGGGUCCCUCAUUUCUAUAGGGAUUCACAAAGAGAUAUACAUUAUUACGAAUUAUUAUCCAUACGUUCCCAUAAUACUACAAAUUCUUAUAUUUUAUAACACUAUGUUGUUUAUCUUCUACAUAAAAUAAUUAUUUUUUAAUUUUUUUUAACCAAACAAAUAAGGUCCAAAUUAAAUAAGACUUAAUGUGUUGGAAUGAACUUCAAAUUAAGUAAGACUUAAUGUGUUGGAUUCAUUAAAGAGUCUAGUAUUUUUUUUAAAUAAUUUAAUAUUCAAAUAAUAAAUCAAUUAAUAUCAUAAAUUUACGGAUAAAAAUUUGUUUAAAACAACUUUAUUGUUUCUCUUUUAUAUAAAAUCAUUAUUUUCUAUUUUUUUUACUAGGUAAAUGAACUCUAAAUAAAACAAGGCUUAAUGCGUUAGUUUUAUUAAUUAGUAAUUUUUAAAAAUAACUUAAAACUUAAAUAAUGGACUAAUCAAUAUAAAAAAUUUAUACACAAAAAUGGGUCUAAAAUGACUCUAUGGUUUCUCUUCUACAUAGAAUAAUUAUUUUUAAUUUUUUUUAACCAAGCAAAUAAGCUCAAAAUUAAACAAGACUUAAUUUGUUGGAUUCAUGAAUAAAUUUAGUAAUUUUUAAAAAUAAUUUAAAACUUAAAUAAUAAACUUGGUAAUACUAUAAAUUUAUGGAUAAAAAAAAUUCAUUAUGAUUCUAUUUUUUUUUCUACACAUAAUUACAUUUUUAUAAAUUUUCUCACUGUAAAAAUAAACUUCAAAUCAAGUGACACUUUGUGGUAAAGUUCUUAGAGAUUUGAUAAUAUAUUCUUACUAGGUAAUAAGAUGGCUAGAUAGAUUUUUUUUUUUCAAUGUUACGAAUCAUAAUUGUGUUGCCUUAGAAAUAAGGAUGGAAAUCCAUCAAAAGAAAACCUAAAACAAACAUUGCAACAAACUCAAAAAGGAUAUGAGAUCCCAACAUAAUUAGAGAAAUAAAACCAAAAGAUGGAGAAGAAGGAAAAUCAUCUACAAUGUCUUAGCAAAGAGAAAAAAGACGGAGAAAUCAUACCUAAAAAGUCUCCAAAUCCUCAACUAAUUCAUAACGGUAACCAUUCAAAACCCUAGAAAACCAUAUAGUAGGCUAGAAAAUUAGAGAUUAAAAUCAGAAAUAAAAUCAAAUAAAAAGACAACCACAAGUGAAUCAAAGAAAAAUAUCAAGUAGAAAUGGUUUUUAAUUAUUUUCAAGAACAAAAUUCUAUUUGGAAACUUAAAUAGAAAAAAUAUAUUUUUAUGCACUUAUAUAUAAAUCAAAAGUUCUCAAAGUAUUUUUAUAAUUUCAAUUAUUCUCAACGUACUCCAAAAAUUAAGUCUAAAAAAAACAUAUUUUCACAAGAAAUUCUGAAAAAUUUGUUUCUAAUCAAAUUUUUGUUGAAAGUGUUUUUCAAUUUAAAAAUAAUUUUAUAUUCUCAAAAUGUAAAAAGUUAUUUUUCAAACAACCCGCCAUGAAUUUAUCAGGAUUAUAUAACCAAAGACUCAAGUAGGGCUUGUUUUGUUCAUGGGCUUUAAUUAAAAGUAAAUCUGAUAGAUUAAAAUGCUAAUAAAAAAUAAUAAUAAAAUAAAAAUAAUGAUAAUAAAAAAAACUCAUACAAAUUUUUAAGGAAACUGAUGAUAAACUAAACCCUAAAAACUCUAACAACAUAUCAAAGGAAAAAACAAAACAAAACACAGAAUACCACCCAGAAAUUUGAGUAGAAAAUAAUUUCAACAACUCAUACUUAAAAAAAAAUAAAAAUAAAAUAAAAUAAAAAAUCAACCUCCUGCAGUUGAAGAAACGAAAUCUCUAGCAACUUUAGCUGCGAAUGAAAACAAUAGCAAACAAUAAGCUCAGUCAUUGAAGAUAGACAGAGAGAGACAAAAAGCGAGCGAUAUGAUUGAAGUGAGACUUUAUUUGAGGUUUUUGAAUGCUUUCACUUUGAACAAGGAAAAAAAAGGGAAAAUCUAGGGAGAUGAAAAAUGAUUGAGAGGGAGAAGCACCAGUCGUGGGUUUUUGUAAGCGAUUUUAUUAUUAUUAUUAUUAUUAUUAUCAUUAUUAUUAUUAUUAAGACCAUAUAACAAAAAUCUACUUUGAAAAUACGAAUGCAUACAUGGAAGAUAGAAGGGUAAAAAAUAGAAGAGGUGUAGUCUUGAAUUAGUCCCCAAAUUAAUAUUUUAUUUAUUAUUUUAGAUUAGUCCUUUUAUAUUAAUUCUUCAGAGAAAGCAAAAAUCUCAUGUAAAUAUAAAUAAAAUCAAUCCCUCAAACGAACAUAAGAUAUAACAUGGAAAAAAACCACCUAGUAACCUACUAAGUGUAAAAAACUAUGAGCAAAAGAUCUUGAAAAUUUAAGAGUUGAAGGAUCAAACUUUUGAUAAAUGGUUAUGCUCUCUAUAGAUUCAUAAAAAUCUACCUCACAUUUUUAAAUUAAAUAUCUUUAUUUAUAUUUAUAAAACUCUUUUUAAAAUUAUGGAGAGUUUCCUAAUUUUAAAACAUUCUAAAGAUUCUUUUUAUAAUCAAAUACCAAUUUAGAGAUAAUCACAAUUUUAAAAUAUUUCAAAAAUUCUUUUUAAAAUCAAACACAAAUUUAGAGAUAAGCAUAAUUUUAAAACUUAUCAAAAACAAAUUUUGAAAUUAAAAAUAUACUAGAAAUCAAAUUAGGAAAUAAAAGUAUUCUCAUCAAUUACCCAAAUCCAAAUUUAAUGAAGUUCGAAGUUGUCUUGAAAUGAAUAAGACCCAAGUAAGUUACAUCCAAUUUAUAAGAAAGGAACCAAAUUGUCAACUAAAUAAAAUACCCUAACAAUCUCUCCCUUUUGGGAAUUCUAUGACAAAAUACAAAGAUAUAAUGAGGGCCCCCCAUAACUCUCUUAAAACCUCACUGAACCCAAUCCUAAUCUUAGUCUAAUGAGGGGCCCCCAUAUUAUUAUUAUUGUUGUUGUUGUUAAGACCAUAUGACAAAAAUCUACUUGGAAAAUACAAAUGCAUACAUGAAAGGCUAAAUUAGGAAUAUGAAGGGGAAUAUGAAGGGUAAAAAAAGGAACUCAAAUGCUGAAAGAAAUUUUUUUGUCUAAUCUUGAUAUAAUAGAACUAUCUAGAAGGUGUAGCCUUUGAAUUAGUCCCCAAAUUAAUAUUUUAUUACCUAUUUUAGGUUUUUCAUUUUAUAUUAAUUCUUUAGAAAUAGCAAAAAUCUCAUGUGAACAUAAUUAAAAAUCAAUCGCUCAAAUGAACACAAGAUACAACAUGGAAAAGCCACCUAACUGUUGGGAUUAAGCCCCAAAAAGCAAGACAUGAUGUAAUAAAAUUAGACUUAACUAUAAUUCUAUUAUCCCCUUGGUAUAUUGACAUUGAUUUGAGUAUUUAGCUCAUGUCUUUUACAUUAUACAUGACUUUGGUGCAUUAGGAGUUGCACAAAAGAUACAAGUCAUUGGUUCCCUGUAAGUAGAUAACUUGUCCACAAUUGGUUUAUGGAUUUUGGCAAUCCAAUUGAGACAGUAGUACACCAUCUCCUAAUUGAAGGGAUGACUUGUCUUGGUCGUCAAUAUGGGUUUCCUAUGGUGAGUGUACUAAUGUAUGUGAUGCACAUUGGACAAGACCUACGAUGAAUCAUGAUGCAAGACCAUCAAUUGUCAUGAUUCACCAAGCUACUAUACUACAUGGACUCUCAACCUUGAGAGGAUGUUGAAUUUGUGUCAAAAUCAACAAAAGGUUUUGAUCUAUGAGUGAGACCCUAAAGUAGCCAUAUAUCCCUAUGGAUUGGGUUAUUGUUGAUGGAGGUUGGUGACAACAGGUAUUCUCAAUAGAGGUAGCAUGAUAUCUCAUUGGAUUGAAACAAUAUGUCUCAUUGGGUGAUCCAAAUGACAUGUGAUCAUGAAAUCAUUGGCCACAGUAAUUCAUUUAGUAGAAUUUGACAUAUGCUCCUUGGAGUUAGAGUAUGUCAAUUGAUCACAUAAUAAGUGAGAUCCGCAACUCAAGGAUUUGAAAAGUAUCUUGAUAUGUGAUAGCACUACCUUGUUAGAUUAUAGAUACCAAUUCAUGGGGAGUCUGCAUGUAGUGAAUAAUAAGUCACAGACUUAAGCACUUGGUGUUUCAUUGUAAUAUACAUAGGAUACUGGAAUACAGUUGACUCUUUGUAGUGGGAUGUUGAGUCAAUUUCAGAAUUUGAUUUUGAGGGAGCCAGUACUCCUAUAGGUCUCAACGGUCCCUGCUCUAAGAUUAUAUUCUUUGUUGGCACGACUUAUGAAAGUUGGAUGAGUUUUUAGUUCAUUUUUGUGCAUAAGGGCGUUUUGGUAAUUAUGUAAGGUUGCUCAGGGAUAAGUGAGUGACAUCUUUGAAUUGGAAUAAUUGAUUAAUUAAGACCUUGUAUGGUUAAUUAAUCAAUUAACAACCUUUUUGGGCUAGAUUAAGUGACCCAAGCCCAUGAUGGGCUUAAGUCAUUUAAGUCUAGUAAAAAACCUAUAAAUACCCCUUUAGGGUUAAGGUUUCCAUGUCUUGUCAUUCUCCCCUUCAGUCUAGAGAAAGAACCCUAACCUCUACCAUUGAGAUCUCCACCAUCUUAGUGCUUAGACACAAGGAAGAGUCAUCAGUCGGAAGAUCAUGGUGUUUACGAGAUCUACUGCGACUUCGGAGUUAUCUACAUCAACUGGAAUCGGUUUGAGAAAAUUUAGAUCAAAGGUAUGUGACUUUAUUCUCUAUGUCUAUACUUUCUAUGGUAUUCUUAUUGUUUUUUAAUACUUGAUCAUCCGUCACGAUAGAUUUAGAAAGCUUAGGAUAGAUUCACAUGCACCCUACACAAUCCAAGGCAUGGGAACGGAGUAAUCUGAAAUUCCCAACACUAACAACCUACUAGGUGUAAAAAAACUAUGGAUGGUCUCACAACCAUUAAAUAAUCUAAUAUAUAUGAGAAAAAGGUACACAUAUUUACCUGACUGGAUGCACUUACUCUCUAAGGUCUUCUACCGUCAACACCUACACUUUUUUUCCCCGUCCCUGAUGCAACACUCUCCUAUGCUCCUUAGAAUCCCUUGAGGCCCUUAUCGAAGUUUUGCAAUGAAAAAUAAAAUAAAUAACAAUAACCAUCACAAACCAUGGACAAAAAGGUUAUGGUAUAUAAGGCAUGUGGUGACAAAAUUAUAAUGCCGACAAGCAUGAGGAUGAGAAGAAAACAAUUGCAAACUUAGAUGAAAUUUUUGUUGAAACAAUGCAUAUCUUUUCUACAUUUCUACCCUAAUGUCCUAAAUAAUGCAAACAACUUAUUAGGAAAAUUGCUGAAAUGAAAAAAGUUCAAGAAUCAUUAGUAAGGGGAGCUUUCGAAGUAGUAAAGGAUUCCUUCUAGUCUUCCGCUCUCCUUAUAGCAUAUCAGACCCUCCAUCUAGAGAAUAUAUGUUCAGAUCCUAAAAUUGCUUUUUCUGCUUAUUCACAUCUUUAACUCCACUCAAUAAUAAUAAUAAUAAUAAUAAUAAAAUAAAAAAACACCUCCGAUAUGCUUGAAAAGUAAAAAUUUUAAAACAAACAAUGAGUUCUCAAGCUCGUUAAGAAAUUAUUACAAAUAGAAUGAUUUUAAUACAAUAUGAUUUCAACAUUUUCUCUAGACCUAAAUACAUAAUCUUUGUUUCAAUAACAUCUUUUUGUGAUUAGCCCAUCACUCGUCAUAGCAAAUAAUCAAAAUAGACUCCAUCCAAAAAUAGAAUGAAUGGUCACAUAUUUAUUGCUUAGACAUAUCUCAUAAGAUUAAUUAUUUGAAUUUUUUUUCAAACCACACUGUAGGAUUAUGGUACAUAUGCAAGCAUAUGCACACAAAUUAAAGAUUUGUUUUGAUUGGAAGUCUAUAUUCUAACAGAAAAAAAAAGGAGGAAAGAAAGAAAGAAAGAGGGGUAUGAGCAAGGAAAAGCAAGGAGUUUUUUAAAGAACUAGAAAUCAAAUGAACAAGCUGAAAGCACCCCCAGCCUAACCACUCUAAAAGUUGUCCCUGAAGUCUUCAAGUGUAACUGCCUCUAUUUUAUCUAGAAACUAUUGGGAAAGCUAGAAACGCAAUGGAAAUCGCUUUCAUACCUGAAGUAAAAAUGAGAACCUCCUUUGUCAAGUGGAUGGUCCUCCAUGAACCCUAAAACUUGGAAGCCAGCUCACUUAGUGAAGUAGAAAAUUUUCCUGACCUUUAAUCUGUUCCAUCUUGAACGAUUACCUUUUGUUAUACCUUCAAUAAUGGAUUUGAUAGCAUUGCCAAAUCUCAUGGCUUUGAACAAGCUAACCAUAGAUCUAGAUUGAGACAUAAUUAUGCUGGGUAAUCUCUAGUUCCCCAAAGAGCAACCUUUGUGUAGUCUAGUAUAUGGGAUGAGGGAUCCAUCUAGGUUGACAAAAAUGUCCUACUUGAGUUCAUUUAAACCAAAAGUGUACAGGAUGCAGUAGAAUCUUCCUGUGUAGUAAAAAAAGAAACAAAUGCUGACCCACUCUAACUCGAAGAAAGACGAAGAAAAAGGGUUGCUUAUGGUUGAAGUAUAGAAUGUUUUGUCAACUUUCAACUUCAAAUUAGUAAUUGGCACUACAAUGUGUAUGAAAAAUCAGUUACAGGCUUGUUUGUGAAAUUAAACUAGACGAGUUUAAAGGGCCAUUUAAACAUAUGCACAUGUAUGUAGAGAGAGAGAGAGAGAGAGAGUGUGUGAGAGAGGGAUUUAUAAUAGAAACUACACAAACAUGUUGAAAAGAGUACUAUGUUGAUUAGAGUAUUUACCAUCACAAUGCUAGUGGCCUAAAACCUCGAGAAACAGUUUGAUCUCUUCUUCAUGGCCCAAUUUUCCAUAAUUCUUGCAGAUUAGAAGCUGUCCACUGAAUUGUUUGAAGUCUCACAUCUCCAUUUCUGAGUAAGUUGAUGGUGUGCUCAAGAAAAUCAUGUCUUCCUCAAGUUCUUCCAACCAAUCAUUUAGAUCAGAAAUCACUUUCCCAAGAGCAUUUAUAUCAUCUUCUUUACAGAACACAGUAUCUUUCACCUGGAUUCUCAGAUGAGGGAACAUGUCCUCCAGCUUGUGGGCUUCCUCUAGAUACAGAAAUAUCAUUUUACAUAGGCAAAUCAGUCUCUUCCAUCCCACCACCUUCUUGAGACCCCUCUUUAUAUUUGAGCUCUUUUGAGUCAUUUAAUGCAUCUCCAUUUCUGGAAUAUUCACCAUUAGCCAAGUUUGAGUGUGCCCCACCAUUAGAGAAGAGAUGAAACUUCUACAAUUUCUUCAGACACUCUGAAAUGUAUAUCUUUCACUUCAAUUGCUGACAAUGACCCCUCUUUAUAGUUGAGCUCAAACCUAAGAACAAACUUAUUCUAAGUAACACCAGUGGUAGUAACUAAUGAAUGAUUGCUCAUACCAUUUCUAAAAGACAAUCAGUUUAAGGUCCACUAAAUGAAAUCCACCUGGAAGGACACCAAUGGCAAGUAAACACACGAAAAUAACAGAAAUUCAACUCUUGCUUGAUAGAUCAAUCUCUUGUAGCAACAUGAUUUUUUGAUCGAUUAAACUUGUUUGCUUGCAAAAACUUGUUGAUACAAUCAAAAGCCAUUAACUACAAAGAAGAGUGGGACCCUCCAAGAAUUCCAUGUUUGGAGUUGAUGAAUAUCCUAACUCUUUACUGCACAUACUUGCAUAGAAUUUGUUUUACAGAUUGAUCCAAUCCAUCAUCAGAUAACAUUCCCACUAACAAUGUGGUGGUGGACACAUCACAAGAAAAUCCCCUUGCAAGCAUUUCUUCAAGAAGUUGAAUAGCUCUCGAUGUCUCAUUAUUCCUUAAAAAUCCUUGGGUAAUUGUAUUGUAAGUGCAACCAUCUGCUGAGCAAGCAUUCUCAUCCAUUUCCAUAAAUAACUUAGUUGCCUCAUCUAAUAAACCUCUUUUACAAAGCCCAUGGGUCAUAAUAUUAUAAGUCCAAACGUUAGGCUUUAAUCCUUUAGAGGAGAGAUUGGAAAAGAGAUCCCUUGCAUCUUCAAGUUCACCAGCCCUACACAUGCCAUCAAUGACAAUAGUAUAAAUUUGUAUAUCAGGAUCCAAAUUACUACCUUCAAUAGCUUUCAGCAAAGCCAUAGCUUUAUCAAGAUGACAAUUUUUGCAUAGAUAGUCCAAUAAAAUGCGGUAAGUGACAAGAUCAGGAAUUUGGCCACAAGCUACCAUCUCACGAAAAAGUGCUAUUGCAUCCUGGAGUCUUCCCACAUGGCAUAAACCAUGUAUAAGAGUGUUGUAAGUCACGGUGUUUGGAAUCAAUUUUUGUCGGCACAUUUCUUCAAAGAGAUACAUGGCCUUAUCCAUCCUUUCAAUCUUACAAUAACCAUUAAUCAAGGUGUUAUAGCUGAAAACAUUAGGUGCACAGCCCUUAUGAACCAUCAUAUCAAAUACUUUAACUGCCUCAUCCAUUUCAGAUCGCAAACAAUGUCCAUCUAUCAAUGCAGUGUAGGUGACUACAUCAGGCUCCACGCCACUUUGAAACAUCAUGUCAACCACAUCAUGUGCUUGGGCGACCAUUCCUUCUUUACAGAGUGCAUCCACCACUGUAGUCAAACUAAUUGCAUUUGGCAUUAUCUUGCUAUCUACCAUUUCAUUCAACAGUGUAUUAACAUGUUUCCACUCACCUAAAUUACAAAGAGCAUAAACUAAUGAGUUGCAAGUAACAAUAUUAGGUGAAAUGCCUUUAGUGAUCAUCUCAGAGAAAAGGUUGAAAGCUUGGGUCUGUUGUCUAUCCUUACAAAGGCUAUGAAUGAGGGUGCCAUAGACAACUACAUCAGGCUGACAAUUCCCUUUCUCCAUGCUCCGAAGUAACCUGAUGGCGGCACUAGUGUGCCCCGUUUUGCAUAACCCAUUUAUCAAUGUUGCAUAUAUAACUACAUCGGGUUGAAAACCUUCCCAAAUCAUUUUAUCAAACAAGUGGAGGGCUUCGCCAAUUUGACCCUCAAGACACAGGCCCUUAAUCAAGGUCGUGAAGGAUGCAGUGUCGGGUUGACAACCAAGUUUGAGGAUUUUGGCUAAAACGGAGAAAGCGAAAUUCACCCGAUUCAGAUGGCAGAAAGAGUUAAUGAGGACGUUGAGAGUGUAAACAUUGUGUGGAAUUCCAAAAGAAUCCAUUUUCCUGGAAAGAGAAAGCACAGUGGAGUAGCGUUUCACUUUAGUGAUGGAGGUUAAAAUUUUUGCGAAAUCAACGAUGGAGGGAGGAGGAUGCAUAUGAAGCAUUCGAUUAAAUGAAGAGAGGGCAUCAUCCAGAGUAUUGAAAUGAAGGUAUUUGGAACGAAAUCUAUUAUGUAAUAAAGACAAGAAUGGAGAAGGAAUAGAAAGCAUCCCUGUACCGGGACCAGGAGAAGAAGAAGAAGAAGAAGAAGAAGAAGAAGAAGAAGCCCUUCGUAUCAUCUUCAUAAUCGCCACCAUUUUGCAGACAAAAGAGGGUGAUAAACGCACAAGACAACGCAGGGAGUAUCCAGAAAUAGAGAGUAUAUACAUUUUCUGUCUGUUUAUUACUUUGGCCUAUGCGUGUGAGCGUUACUUUAUGAAACUUAUUUUAAAUUUAAAAUUAUUUUGCCAAUAAAAAAAAAUAAAAAUAAAAAGACAAUCUUUUUUAUUUCACGAUUUGAAAAGAAUUACAAUAAUGAAAUAAAAAAGAAUUAUAAUCACUAUUUAUUGUUUGUAAAAGUAGUUGAUCCUUUCAUGCAAUUCCUUAUUUUUACCAAAAUUAUUUUACUAAUCUUUAAAUUUAAAAUCCCAACCUUUUUUAUUUCUAAUCUUUCUAUGCAUCCACCCAUUUCCCAAAUGUAUCCACCAAAUAAAUUUAAACAAGAAGUAAGAGAAAAUGAAGAGAAGAUGAACUAUUUGGCAAUUUGUUUUUUAAAAUAGUUUUUUAUUCUUCAAAAAAAAAAAACAAAAAAAAAACACAUUUAAUAAUCAAAAAUUACUUUUUGUUCAUAAGAAUAGAAAAUGAGUUUAUUUGACAACUGUUAUCGAGAAUAAUUUUAUAUUUUUUUAGAACAAAAAAAAUAAAAAUAAAAACAUUUUACAACAAAAAACGAAUUUUUUUUUAGAAUAAAAAAUAAGAUAUUUUUACAGAACAUCUUUUAAUUGUUUUUUGUUAUUUUUACUUAUUUUCUAAAGGUUGUUUUAAAAAAUAAUUAUACAAAUAUUUAGAAUGAUUUAAAAUAAAAAACUAGACAAAAAAAUUAUUUUUAAAAAUAUUAAAAAAUAGGUUAAAAACAUUUUAGAUUUCUAAACAAAUUUUUGUUUUACAAAACAUUAUAAAACAAUUUUCAAAAACUGUUUUUUAAAACUGUUUUCCAAAACAAUUACCAAAAAGGCCUUAAAGUGUUUUCAAAUAAUAUCUUCCAAUUAUUUUUUAUUGUUCUCACUUGUUUUCUAAGGAUUGUUUUUAAAAAUAAUUAUACAAAUAUGUAGAAUAAUUAAAAAUAAAACACUACACAUGAAAAUGAUUUUUAAAACUAUUAAAAAUAAGUUUAAAAUAUUUUAGGUUUUCAAACAAAUUUUUAUUUUACAAAACUAUUUUCGAAAAGAGUCACCAAAUAAGCCUAUGUAUGUUUUGAACCUAUUUUAAAACACAAUUUCCUAUUCUAAGAACAAAAAGCCGGGAAAAUUAUUUUAAGAAUCAAAAAACAGAAAUUAACAAGAAAUAGAUGUUUUUCUUGUUUUCUAAAAACUAUUUUUUAAAAAAAAUUAUAUAAAUAUUAAGAAUGAUUAAAAAUAAAACAUAAUUAAUAAAAAUUAUUUUAAAAAUAUAGAAAAUAGAUUAAUAACAUUUCAAGUUUCCAAACAAACUCUUAUUCUACAAGAUAUUAGAAACAAUUUUCAAAAACUAUUUUUCAAAACGAUUUUAAAAAAUACUUCCCAGACAUACAAUUAACAUCCUUUUAACAUAAUGAAUCCUCCUCCUGGAACAAGCCAAGUAGACAAAUUGAAGCUAAAUGAUGGAACCAUGAGACUUACAAGUUCAGCAAUCCAGAGUAAAAUCAUUUAUCUGUUUCAAUGUACAAUAGAGUCAGCAGCAACAGGUCAGACCAAUUGAAGUCUACCCUCUUAAAUAAUAGUAUAGUUUUCACUUUACACACAAAAUCAACCCCCCUUGGACCCUCAAAAAAAAAUGCAUCACUCAUCCACUCCUGCAAUCCAAAACCAGAAAAAAAGCAAAGACAAAAGCCCCAUCUCCAUUCUCAAAAAAGGAAAAAAAAAACCAAAGCCUCACCAACUGCUACCAUUAUCAAGCUACAAACCAAAAUAUUCUAAGCAAUGAAGCAAGCCCAAAGAAGAGAGAUUGGAAAAGAAACAAACCAAACAUCAUACGGCGUCAAAUCUAAGCUAUUCUAUGUCUUGGGAGAAACAAGCUCACGAUACUGUACAGAGGUUAUGCCAGUUUUGUACCAAGGUAUUGACUGAUGGUAGCUGCCUGGCUCUUUGGAGUAUCAACACGUCUUUUCCCAUGGCAUCUGCAAUAUUAACAUAACAACCCCUCAGAGGAUAAGCUUAAAAAAGUUCAGAAACAGGCUUUUAUGUAUUUAUAUCCUAAUCUAAUCUUGGAGUUGCAUAUUUCAUUGAACAUACUAAACAAAGAAGAGAACAUGGAAGGUAUAGUUGGGAAAAGCAAUGCAAAUGCUAGAAAAUGAAGGCUUUCAAUUUCGAUCAGUGCAGUGUAGUUUCAAAAUUCUCCAGAGCAAAAUCUCCUUGCCAGAUAGUAUGUCAGAAUUAGUUUGUUAAGAGUUCUGAAAUUCAAUAUUGUGAUGCUUUUCUUUCCCUGCAUUUUCUCAGCAGCCAAACAAACCACAAGAGAAAAUGAUGCACUCAUGAAUCAACCAAGAAUAAAUGCUUGUUAUGCCAUAGAGUAACAAUAAGAAUCUCUCCUCAUUUCACAAAAUUAUUCUCACAAUUAAGUUGUGGUCUUAUUCCGGCCAGGGAAGAUUACCAAAAAGGCAUUGAGUUUCUCUCCAAACUAAAAAAACCAAAUACAUCUCAUAUGGACUAUUUUCUCGAGAAUAUAAAAUUCUUCAGAGUCCUCCAAAUAUGUUGGAAAUUAUUCUCACAACCAAAAACAUGGUUCCUUCACCUAAAUGCUUCUUAACAUAAAACCACACUUGGACCAUAGGAUCAACUGUUAGAUUUAAGGCCCUCUCAAGACAUGCACUAGAAACCCAUCCUCAAACUGAACCAUUUCCAACUAAAAGAAAAGAAUAUGAAUCACCCACUACCAUGACACCAUGCAUCGACAAUAUGACACAGGACCAACUAGACCAUCCAAUAAAGAAAGAAGGGCACAGAUUCUUAUCACACCAAAAAUUUUCCCAGGUACCUUCAUUGCAUGUCCUCUACUACAGGAAUAUGUCAAUAGAAUCCUGUAGACAUGGUCAUAUACAAUCUCACAUUUAAAAAGGUAGAGAAGAAAGAUACUGAUAAUAGAGCCAUGCCCUAAGAUUCGUGAUUACAUGAAUCUGAUGUCCAGAUUCUAGCAACAGAUGAAUCCCCAACUAAAAGAAUGACUCACAAAAUGAUCCUUUGAGCUGCAUUUUAACAAGCUAACUCAACCUUUUAAGGCACCUCAAGGUCAGAUUUUGGUAGUCUUUAAACUAAUCUGAUUACGAGUAAAGGCAGUCUCUAAGGUGUUUUAGACAUUCAAGAAUAGACUUGAUGCAAAUCAGGGCAUCUUAUUCCUUGAAUGUAACUGUUUUCUACCAACAUAGUGAAGCAUUAUACCACCCAUUUCCAGUUACAUGAGACCUUCUUCACUCCAUUCUCUUCAAAAAAUGCAGGCACACAGAAAACAUAUUAACAGCCGGCAAUACACAAGAUGACAAAGACCAUGCAGAUGAUCUGGGAAAAAAUUUUAAGUUUCUCAUUUACCUAAUGUCCUCCGACUCACUACACAGACCUGGAACAAUAGUGCUAGAGGAAAUAGAAAUGUUUUCCAGGAAGUUUAACACAUGAGAAUGAUGACUAAGCAAUUUUGUCAAAUCCUUGUUUGCUUUAUUCAACCAAUUUUGAGCAUGUAUUGAUUUGUAACACUCACACAAUGUUGAAAAUUUUUUCCUUCAUUGCUUCUGUAACUUUAUUAUCAUUUGAAAUUAGAAAACGAAGAGUAUUAAACUUCAUUCUCCGUCUCUGGUGAGGUCGCAUCAGCAAAAGAGUACUCAUCAAUCCAAUUCCAGCUUCUGUCCCAGAUGAAGUUGUUCUUGUUGGUAUCAUAGAUGUGCUGUAAGAACUGGGCAAUGUCCCUAAAUUAAUUGAUAUAGAAGCAUGAACAUUCGUGGAUGGAAAAUGAAAGAUCACUUAAGAAAUUAUGAUAAAUGGAAUGAUUUCAGACAGUAUGAUUUUAAAAUUUUCUCUAGCACCUGUCUAGAAUAAUCAUAAACUUUCUUAAGAUCUUUUUGCAAUUAUCUCCAUCAUUCAACAUGGCAAAUAAUCAAGAUCAUAGUUGUGAAAGGAGCGCUUUAAGCACACCUAGGCUCAAGGCACACCCACUCCCUAGUUGUAGCAUCUUGCUUGCCAAGGUGUGCACCUUGUUGGAGAAACUCACCUAGUCUACUUUACUUCCAUUUUUAAAACACUUCUAUUCUUGAAACUUCUAACCAUAUAUCGAAAUUUAUACAAAUUCAUUACUUUUUUGUUGGAUGCUUCUUUUAAAUGUUUGGAAUCUUAAAUUUUUUGUUGAUUGGAUUAGAUUUUAGAUCAUAUCAUCAUAAAGAGCAUUUCACUUUCCUUAGGCUCGCACUUUGUAUUGUGCCUUAUGCCUAAGCCAUAAGAGACUUUUGUGUCUUGUGCCUUUUAAAACUAUGAUCAAAAUAUCCUUCAUCCAAAAUUCAAAUCAUGGCCAUCUUAGCAGUCUCACUGGUUAACCCACAGACAUCUCUCAUGAGACCAAUUACUUGCCUUAUUUUUUGUUUCAAACCAUACAAUAGGAGUAUAAGUACAUUUGCAAGCAUGUUGUCACAAGAUGCUUCAAAUGACCCUCCCCAUGGGCUUAUAUGGGGGGUAGGAAGCUUCUAGAGAACCCUGAAGACAUCUACACUUAGCUACAAGGUGGAAGAGUGUGGAAGCUUCUAGAAAAGGCUAAAGAUGUCCACACAUCUCUACGCUUGGCUAGGAGACCACUGGAAAAGUGUGGGGUGUUCUAAAAUCUUCCAAAGUCAUCUUGUACAUAGCCUUGUACAUAGACUAGUGUAGGAGCUUCUAGAUUAUUCUUGAUUUGUAAGGAACCCUUCAAGGUUCUAGAGACUUCCCAAGGUGCCUAUAAAUAAGUUAAGACCCCAUUUGGCCAAGGCACCACCCAAGAACCUAACCAACCAAGCAAGUGAGCUCUAAGCACUUGUAAAGCUUCCUUUGAGUAAUAAAAGCUUCCUAUUCUUUAAGUGUUGCAUACGGUUCUCUUAGCUUCCAAAUCGUGUGCAUCUUAGCUUAGCGAACUAAGCAUAAAGGGGAAGGCUGACUUAGCAACUUUCAAGCGGGGUGAGUUAUCUAAGUGCCACACGUGAGCUUAGGAAAGGCCUAAGUCCGUGACAUAUGCUCACAAAUUAGAGAUUUGUCUUGAUUAGGAGUCUAUAUUAUGAUAGAAAACAACAAACUGAACAAGAAAAAAAGGAUGGAUAUAUGCAAGAAAGAACAUGACCUUUUCAAAGAAUUAAAAAUCAAAUGAAGAUGUUGAAAGCACCCCCAGCCUACCCGCUCUCAGAAGGAUAAAAAAUGGCCCUAAACUCUUCCAGCAUAACUGCAUCUAUUUUAUCUAAAAAACCACUGAGAACCCUAGCAACCCAAUGGAGAUCACCUCUAUCUUGUAAGUAAGAAAAAAAUUACCCUUCUUCAAGUGGAUAGUCCUCUACAAGCCUUAAAACUUGGAAGUCAACCAGCUUAGUGAAGUAGAAGAAUCCCCUUUGACGUCUAAUCUGUUCCACCCUGAACAAUUAGCUUUUGUAAUGCCUUCAACAAUGGCUUUGCUAUAUUACCUAAUCUCAUAGCUUUGAACAAGCUAACAACAUACUUAGAUCAAGAUAUCAAACUAUAUUGACUUAUCUUGAGUGCUCCAUAGAGCAACCUUGUGUAGUCUAGUCUAUUAGAUGAGGGAUAAAUCUAGGUUGACAAAAUGUCUUCCAUGAGUUCAUUUAAGUAAAAGUAUACUGGCUACAGUUGCAUCUCCCUUCUCAAUGAUACUUAAAAAAAAGUUAAAUGUUGGCCUCCCACUCACUUGAAGAAACACACACACACACACACACACACACACAAAAAAAAAAAAAAAGGUUGCCUACGGUUUAAGUAUGGCACAUUCCAUCGACUUUCAACUUUAAACUGGAAAUUUGCACUAUAAUGUAUAUGAAAAAUAUGUUAAGGUGUUGUUUAUGAAAUUAAACUAGACUUGUUCAAACAGCCAUUUACAAAAACACAAAAAACAUAUAUGUACAUACGAAUAUGCAUUUGUGGACUGAGAUACAUAAUAGAAACUACACCAACAUGCUUAAAAGUGCAGCAUGUUCAUUAAAGUACUUACCUUUGCAGGGUAUGGCAUAAAGCCUCAAGAAACAGUUUGAUUUCUUCUUCGUAUCCCAAUUUUCCGCAAUUCUUGCAGAUCAGAAGCUAUCUGUUGAAUGAAUUGAAGUCCCUCAUCUCCAUUUCUGAGCGAGUUGACGGAGUGCUCAAGAAAAUCACGGUCUGCCUCGAGUGAUUCCAACCGAUCAUUUAGAUGAGAAAUCUCAUUUCCAAGAGCAAUUAGAUCAUUCUCUCUACAAAAUAUGGAGGAGCUUUGGCCUGAUUCCUUGCCAACAAACUGAGAAUUCUGUGACAAGGCAAAACUUCCUCCAGCAUGUGGACUUCCUCUAGAUACAGAAAUGUCGUUUUGCACAGGCAAAUCAGUCUCUUCCAUUCCACCAUCUUCUUGAGACCCCUCUUUAUGGUUGAGCUCUUUUGAGUCACUUACUCCAUUUCCAGAAUAUUCACCAUUAGCCAAGUUUGAGCAUGCCCCAUCAUUAGAGAAGAGACGAAGCUUCACCUCCAAUAUCUUCAAACACUCUGAAAUGUAUAACCUUUCCUCUUCAAUCUCUAACAAUGAAUUCUUCAUAAUACUCAUAUGUUUAUCAUUAAAGGACAUUUCUUUUCUUUCAACAUUAUCACAGAUUUUAGGUUUCACCAUAACCACAUUGCUAGGAACAUCAACAUCAUUUCCAACACAGCUUGCAUCUGAAUGCUCCAUUCUAACGUCUUCUAUUUUUGGAUCACAAGUUGGCUGCAAUGUAUUCUCCAACAUUGUUUCAUCUGGGAAUUUCUUCCUAUAAAAUUCAAGCUCAGCUUCUAGAUCUUGCAUCUCUUUCUCCUUUUCCGUAAGAAGGUCAUUUGUCUUUUGCAGUGCUUCCAUGUCAUACUCAGACUGCUCUUCCAUCAUUCUUAAGUAUUGCAAUGCUUCCAUAUGGAGCGCUGCCUUCUCCUCCUGGAGUCUGGUAAUCAUGGCCAUUGCCUGAUUUGCAGAAAUUGCAGAAGCAUUUCUUUCUUCAUCCAACUCCUUAUACAAAGCAAUGAUGGUUUUCCUGUCAUGCUCAACUUGACGCUUUAACCGAUCAACCAUGCUUUCACCUUCUAUUUCACUGACAAUGCUUCCAUCCAAAGAUAAGCCAGAUUCGUUUCUUUCAAGUGAGAUCCUCUUUUGAAGUAUAUGCAAUCCAGUAGGGGUAGAAGAAUCAAAGGUUUUCAAGUCAUCAACAUUUCCAGAUACUCUAGGACUUAUAUCAUUUAGUGGUAACUCAAACCCUCGAGUGGCAGACAUUUGUGAUAGCAAGACCUUGAACUCUCCACUAACUUUUGCAGAAUCUUUCCCAGUGCGCUGGUCUGCAAGAAUACCAGAUGAUUGUCUUCCUCUAUUACUUACAGCUAGCCUAUAAGCAUCACCAAGAUCCAAAGAAUUGGGCAUUUGAUGAACAGUAUCAACUAACAUGGGAUUAAUUUCUGAACCUAUUACACCACCUGUAAUUGGCCCACUUCCUGUCUUAGAGAUUUCCCCUUUUUCAGCCACAGAUGUUUGUGGAACUUCACUAGCUUCGGCAUCAUCUACUGCAAAACAUGAAUAAGUAAAAGAAAAGCUCAAAUUUUCAAAUUUAACUGAAUAAUAUAAUCAGAUCUCAGGACAUAAUGUAGAAAUGAAAAUUUUAAUUUCAAAUUGUAUAGCAUUUGAAUACAAGUUUGUUUGGUGGAGAAAAGCAAUUACACAAAGAAGGGAGGAAAUUUAAAAUUAAGAUUAAGUAUUAAAUCCAAAGAUGAUAUUAUAUUAUUAUUUAAGUGCUGAGCGAAAAAGUUUCAUUUGAACCACCAUCAAACAAAAUAAAUACAUUUCAAACACCAUGUGCAAAUCAGCAGAGUGGUUUUGUUUGGAGACCAAACAGCCACAAAAUAGAGCAAGAGCAAAAACUUCGAACUUACAGACUUGUUUUGAUAAUUCAACAGGGGUUUCUACGGAAUUGAAUGAUGCAGGAGUAUCAUCCGUGUGAGUAAGCGCUGGUAAUACAGAAGGAUCAACUUUGUGUUCAAGCUUCUGCCAAUCAAGCUCCUCCAAGCCAUGCCCAAUAGCAGCAGUAGGUGCUUCAGAAGCAGUCCCAUUGAGCUUGAUAGCAUUUGAUCGCACCUGUGGCAUUGCAUCUGAAGGCUCAGAUACAAAAGCUGGAAUUAUCAGUUUCUCAGUGGCCAAAUCAUCAGCAAGGGUAAUAACACGUGGCUCUGGUAAUAAAGAAUGAACUGUGACAUCUUCCUUGGGUUGAUUGGUUUCACAUGGUAUGGUAUUUGCAUCAUCAUCAUCAGAAAGUAGGAUCUCAGAUUCAGAAUCAGAAGUAAUCUUGAGUUCUGUAUAUCCUAUAUGAGAUAAAGGAUCAAGGCGCUUACUUCCCAGUUGAGGAGCUCCAACUGAUCCAGACGGUAUGUAUUGUUUCUUUUUCAGACCUUCAUGACUAUGUUCAACAGCACCUGAUAAAGACAGGUCAAGCUCAGCAGCCUCAGACUCAAUUGAUUUGGUCUGAAACAAUCUUUUGUCAGACUCACUAGGAAUGUAUGGCUUGCUGCAACAAGAACAAUGCCUUGUGCUUGAAGAAGAAGGCUUAUACUCCUCAAGUAUUGGGUCAUGAUCAAGAACCGAGUUAGUGUCCUCUCCCAAUUUACCCACCAAUAAUCUGUAUGUCUCAGCAUUAUAUUUAUUUAUUGUGGCAAAUGAGAAGAGGCAAUUUUCACACAUUCCACGACCAUUGACUAGCUUUUUAUGAGUAUAACAAAGAACUAAAGAGGAGAUCUCCAACUUAUGAUUAUGGCAAAUCAAAUCCCAAUAAAAGCCAAGUUUUUCCUUGCCUAGAACACGAUCAAGUCUCGAGCAUAGCAGGCAUGGUGCUUGCAAUUCACAACUACGGGCAAAUUUAGUGACCAAGUAUGAGAAUAUGCCAUCAAUGAACAACAUAAACAUAAGCAACCAUUCAAAAAAAGCUGAUGUCAAGACUGUUGUAAAACCCUGGGAAACAUUCUGAGAUUUAACAGGUGAAAUCCCCAUUGUAGCCAUGCCCUGGCAAGAUUAGUAGAGUAAGUUCACAGCAAGAAAUCGACUGCCCGAAACAGAAUAGUGUCCAGUCUUCCUAAAACCAUCAAUGGAAAAUAUCAACACUGCAGACAUAAAUGAACAAACAAAUUUAGGAGCAAUUCAAGGAAAAAAAAUAGCAGAAGGCAGCAUACAUUCAAAAUGAGGAUAAAAAGGAAGGAAAAAAGAAACUGAAUACACAUUUCAAGGAAAAUCCCAAUAGAAGCUAAAAACAAAAUUCAAAGCAGAAAUAGAAGGGACCUGCAUUUUAUAGAUGAUAAAAAACGGAAAGGAUCCGAUUUCUACCAACACCAGAAGCCAAGGAAAAAAAAAAAAAUCUUAACAAGCCACAAACAUGUCUCAUACAGAAGCAAUGCCAUCAUAAUCCUGGCAUAUAACUCCUAAAGCUAGUAAUUAAAUAUCUAGACUGCUAAAUGAGAAAUCAAUAACAGUAUGUUUCUUACCAAAAAGCAACAAACCCAUAUCUCCUACAUAAUCAAUACCCACCCAUAUAAUUUUCAACCAUUUAAGAAGCUGAUAAAAUAAAGCCUUCAACAAAAAAAGUUAGAAAAAA
rnacentral:lncRNA from 1 species